rnacentral:lncRNA from 1 species
GUUGUGUGGGUUUUGUAGAGAAAGACUCAUCUCGUGGGUCAGAUUAGGGGUUCAAUUGCAAGCCUUAUAGGUAUUGACAUCAACAUUAUUUUGAGAAAUUAUAGAAUGGGGUUGCUAUUGCUUUUUCCCCCUCAUACCUAAUUUUUUUUUAUUAAUGGUGUUUCUUAAUGUGUCCAAACGUAUUAACUCUCUAGGGCUUAUACUCAAAGUCCAGCUUAUUUAUUCAGAAAUGCUCUGGAGCAACUAUGAACUGUUUAAAAUCCAUCAAAAUUGAAUGCAAAUUGAACCCAGGGGAAUUGUCAUAGUGCUAAAUAUCGUUGAAGCUUUUAUCAAAGAUUCAAGGGACUUUAAAUGUUAGACUCCACAUAAGUGAAGUAUAGUAAAAAGAGAAUCAAGACUUGGAUUUUCUCCCCCUGUAAUGGUUGGCAUUAGACUCAUAGUAAAUUGUGAAAGUACCUGUAGAGAAUUAGAUGUAUUUGAAAAUGAAAUUUUCUACGGUUUCUUCAUGUUCCGUUUCUUUUCAAUUACUUGAACUUUUAUCAUGUUCAGGACAAAAUAUUAAGACUGCCUAAUUUCUAUGUUUCUCUAUGAGAUGAUAGGAUGCCUCUGUUUGCAUGUCUUUGAAUCCCAAGCAUGCAUAAGAAAAAGCAAAUGUAUUGUGGGGAAUCGUUUUUUUUUCUAAUAAAUACUUUUGCUGCUUAGAUCUUGGAUAGACAGAUCAUUAGUUUAUUUAGGGUGAAAAUUGGAUAAUUGAAAAAUUUAUUCAUAGACCUUUUCAAUUGUUACUUCAGUGUCUUUCAUUGUUUUUAUUUCCGUAGUAAAGAAAGAUCUUUUUAAUUGUUAAUUCUUUUGGUUCUUUGGCUUUAUAAUGCUAGUAUGCUUCUACAAAAUUGUUUCUUUCAUUUAUUCAUUUGGGUUAAUGAGAUCCUCCCAUGUUUACUGUACGUUUUACAAAUUUAACUGAUCUAUUCAGAUUUGUCGAUACUUUUGAAGAGGUCAUCUAUCCAAUGGGGGAUCCUGAUGCUGUGACCAUUAGUAAGAGAGACCUUGAGCUUCUGAAGCCAGGGAUGUUUAUUAACGAUACUAUCAUUGACUUUUAUGUUAAGUAAGUUUGAGUUUUCUCCUGUCUCUAGCAGAAGUUUGUUUCUCUUGGUUUUUGUUUGUCCUUAUCUUAGAAAUUGGCUGCAUAUAUUAUAUUUCUUCAUUUUAAUCCCUAUACCAUGAAUUGAUUACCAUUGGAAAACCUCUUUUUAUUUUUAUUUCUUUUAUUUUAGUGAGGAUAUUUAUAGCUGAAAUAAAUAGUGCAGAUAAUUUUAGUGUACUUUCGAAAUAGAAAGGCAAGAAACAUCCAAAUCAUAAUGUGAGAUAGUUGCAAUUUUUAGUUCUACGGUUACUUGGGAUUUCAUAUCUUUUAACUUUCAGCCGAUUAGACUGAUAAUGGAUGGGAAAUUAUUUCAUUGAUAGAAUGAAACCCUUAUAUAAAUAGGAAUUCCCAUCCGAGGACGUUGCAAAAAUUCCUUCAGUAGGAUAUGAAAUUGUUGAGACUAUAGUUGCAAAAAGGAGAAACUUGCUUACAUCAAUAAAGCUUUGAAUUGAAGACUCAAGAAAUACAGUUCAGUGAAGAGCAAGUUGUGGGCCAAGUAAAAGGGAGUCCUGAAGUUUAGGAAGCGUCUGGGACAAUGAACUAUAUUUAGAAAAGUCAAUAGUAGAGCUAAAAUGUAGAAAAGUUGUUAUGAAAAAGUUUGAAUAUUAUUGAAUUAUUUCUCACUUUGUUGUUUUUACAAGAGUACAAAGCCCUAACUUAAAUAUAAUGCAUAUCUAAUAAAAUAAAAGGAAAGACUCCUACAAAAAAAAAUUACAUAAUAAUUACAGGGAAUUAAAUCAAAUAUAGUAUAAAUCAACAGUUAUAGUUAGCUUACUUGACUUAGUAGAGUCUCCCACAACCUAUGAAUUCUGGAAAGUGAUUGAUGGAGGAUUUGUACAGAUGGGAGAGGUCCAACUUGUAAAAGCAUCUCAUUCAUGCACAAAGUCUCUUGUGUAAAUGAACGUAGAUCUUGUAACUGAAAAACUUGGGGAUUGAUCCCCUUGGCCAAUUUGUUUGUUUGUGUCUUGUGCAUUGGUGCUUCUUUAGCAAAACCAUCUUGUGAGCUCUUGGACGAAUAAGAAGACUGACAAAGCGGAGCCUCUUAGGUCACAUGGAUAUGUGAAAAAUUUUACUUGAGUUUUUACCUUUUGAUAGUUACACUUUCACCGGCCAUGGGUUCAUCUUCGCUGUUAACUUGCUCUUCCUGAAUGACAAUGUAGUUUGAGGACUUUAAUUGGUGGAGGUUUGGUUACAACCUUGCAUCUUGAUGCAAAAGACUUACACAAGCAGGCUGAAGUGGGUUGGGAAGCACACUUGUGCUGGUGGGUAGGGGUGUAGGUUGACGCUCACCCCAAAGAAAAGCAGGCAUAGGUGUGUGCCCUGACGAAUGUUGCACAUGCAAUGGGCGUGUGCACAUACACUCAAGCUAGUAGAAAUGCAGACAGGCGAGUGUGUGUGCACAUGCGUAUAGGGCUCAAAUAGACACAUGCGAGCGGCAACAAAAGUUGUGUCGGUCAGCUGGGCACCUUUGUCCAACCCUUCUCCCUCUUCACCUUUUAUUGUUCGCAUUUUGUGGUUGGGAAAGAGUUUCCUUUAAAGAUUGGCUUUGUGUGACUUUGUCGUCUGCGAGUGCUUGGUUACUUGUCCAACGAUAGCUGUGUUACCCUUUGAGAGGACUUGUGAGCCACGCCACUGUCAUAGGGUAAAAGCUUAAGUAAAACCUUAUUCAUGCAGCCAAAGAGGUUACUCUUAGUCAACUUUCUCAUUUGCCUAAAAGGAUUCCAAAACUGUUUUGUUUGAAGAAGCAAGGGUGUUUUUUUGGAACAAUUACAAAGUUUCAAAUUCCAUGGGAAAAAUUGAAACCUGCCCAAAUUUUAAGGUAUUUUGUAUGAUUUAACCUGUUACUAACUAAAAAAACGAAUUGCUGAUGACCAACUAACAAACUUAUCUAUUUAAGUAGUAGGAUUGUUUAUUUGAUUUCAAUUAGACACUUGCUUUAUCUCUGUUACCACUGCCAAUUCUUUCACCUCAUAUUUGAGCGCUUUUCCCUCCCUUUUAAUUAGCAAACUGAGAAUUAUUACAUGAAAUGUUUGUAGGUAUCUAAAAAAUAAAUUCCUUUCGGAGAAAAACAAUAGGUUCUACUUCUUCAAUAGUUUUUUCUUCCGAAAGCUUGUGGACCUAGACAAAGAUUUAUCAAGUGCUCGUGGAGGAAGGGAUGCAUUUCAGCGUGUUCACAAAUGGACAAAGAAAGUAAAUCUUUUUCAAAAGGAUUAUCUCUUCAUUCCUGUUAACUACAGGUUAUAACUUAUAACUUAUAUAUAUUAAGCAUUCUAUUUUAAUUGACUAUCCUGCAUUAUGUACUCUGUUCUAAUUCUAAUUACAAGUCUUGAUGACAGUCUCCAUUGGAGUUUGGUUGUCAUCUGCCAUCCUGGUGAAGUGGUAAAUUUGAAAGGCAAGAUGUUUAGCACUUAAUGAAAAUGUCAUUGGUACUAAGAUGAUCUUUUGUUGAUUAUUUCCUUUAUUGUUAAUAGUUUCAUAGUUUUUAAAGAUAUAUUUGUGUAUUUUUUUUUUCCUUAUUUUGUAUUUUCCUACUUUCUAUUGGGAAUCUCUUCUAUUUAAGAAAACCCCUUUCUUUCUAUGUGAAAUAAGAGAUAUAAUUUACACAUCUAAUUCAUGUAAUUUUUCAUAAUAUCUUGCAGAUAAAAAACAUGAUAACUUAUCCAAGGUACCGUGCAUCUUGCAUAUGGAUUCUAUCAAAGGGAGCCACAGAGGGCUGAAGUCUCUUUUUCAAAGGUAAUAUGCUCAUAUAUCCAUUUGAAUGGUUCCAAGGAGAUCUUUAUAUUUUUAUUUUUGAUGUCGUGAAGGUUGUUUCGUGAGUUCCUUGUGUUCAAUGGUUUCCUGUUUCUAAGUAGGUCUCUUUGCAUCAUUCAAGUUUGUUUGGAGCAGUUCCUCCAAAAAAAUUAUGAACUAACAAAAAAAGGAGGUGAUGAAUUGGGAUUUUUUUAAAAAAAAUAUUUUUAUCACAAGAUUACAUUAUUUCAAUAGAUUUCUGGUUUCUAACAAGUGGGUGGAAGCAUUUUGAGAAUUCAAGAGAGCAAGGCAAGUGCGUGCCAUCACUUAGCCAAACAGUUCAUGAAGAACUUCAGGCUCCCUCUCUUCCGAACAUAACGACAUCUCCCUUCUGUAUUCUCCAACUCAUUCAAAAUGCAUUUGAUGUAAUAUAGAAUAGUUAGUAAAACAGUUAAAUUGUUUAAACUGUUAACUAACAGCUGUAGAUAGUUAGUAAAACAUUUUAAUUGUUUAAACUGUUAACUGUUAAAACUGUUUCAUAAAAACAGUUAUAUCAACUACUUGUAACUAGUUACACAUUCUUAAUAAAGACCCCUUCUCUUAGCCAUUAGAGGCAGAGAAUUCAUUUUGAGAAAUAAUUCUACUUUGAUUUACAUCAGCAUUGGCUCAUAGAUUUAGGUGAGAAAUCCAUGAUCUGUUUUAGCAAGGCUAAAGAUCUGUUUGGAAUUAAAAGGGCUCCUAAUUAAACUUAAGUUGAUGGCUCCUAAAUAAAGUUAAGCUGGGAUAAAAGGUAGGUGACAAAAUAAAACCUCGUUCUCUGUAUUAGGUGACUACCUAGAUUGAAAAAAAUUGUACAAUUUACAGUACUAUACUAAUGGUCUUUAGAACUGACUGGAAGUUGUUUUGAAACUUUCGUUUUGCAUUGUUAAUCAAUGUUAUCUUCUUUGUUGUCAUCAAGCAUUUCACCAGGAAUAUCUUUCAUGGUAUUUGAGUUAAUUUUAAUGGAUUUUUUUCUGCCUUUUGUUCUCCUUUAUUCAUGUUUUCUCUCUGAAUUUUACAUCUUAGUUUAUCUAAUCAUUAUAAAUUUCUUGUGAUGUUAGUUUAAAAGCCUAUAUUUUGUAAUGUUCUUCGUACUUUGAAAUUCUAAUGUCAAAGGUUACCGAUAAUUAUUUUAGAUUUUAACGUGACAGUUACUUAUGUGAAGAGUGGAAAGAGAGGUAUGGUGAUGGAGAUUACAAAGAUAUUUCUGCAGUGUUCUUAACCUUGCCAUUUAUCCCUCUAGAGGUAUGGAAGUAUUAAAAAAUUUAGUAGACUCCAGGGAGACUAAAAUUUUGAAUGUGUUGCCAUUGUCAAGAUCCUUCAUUUUCUCUGCCCCCCCAACCCCCUAACCUCUCACACCUCAACACAAUAUUAAUAUCAAUAAUAAUAAAAUAGAGGAAAAAAGAAAUUAAAAGAACAGUAAAUUGAAUAAUAUUUUUCAUAUUGUAUGUUAUCAUAUAAUCUUUCUUUUUAUUUCUGAAUUUUUAUUGUAGGUUGAGAAAUUUCUUUUUGAGGUUGAGUGCAUGUCUCAAAUGGUAUAGGAUAGGAAAUGUCCCCACUUUUAAAUGUUGGUUAAUAUGCGAAGGAUAUGGAGUUGGGCCUCAUUCUCCUAGGUUCCGUUUUUUCCUCCUCCUGAACUGCACUGUUGAUUUAGAUCUCCAGGUGUCUAAUUAAGCAACCAAAUAUCCCUUGCUGCAUACAUACUUGUAGCUUGAGAAUAAUAAACGAUAUUUAUCUUAUAUUGAGAUGCCUUACUGGUCAGGCACUCACAAUUAUCAAUAAAACCUUGAUUAAUUUGGGGUUCUAUGAUGGAAGAUUUCCCAGGUUUUGUGUUUAAUUGAUGCUCUAGGUGAAGAGCUUAAUAAAUAAAACUUCUUGAUAUCUCUUUUUAUUAGUGUUUUAUCACAUGUGGUGGAGCAUAAUGCCACAAUGACCAAAGAACGAUAUGUUACCUUUGUACGCCUGAAAUGUGUAUAGCAUAUACACAAUGAUUUUUCUCUCUUUUUCUGAGAGUUAGUCAACUAAAAUAUAAACACUCUGUGCGUCAACAAUUUUUUGGAAGAUUCGUCUGAUAGUAGAUGUUUGUGUAAUCUGCGUUCCCAUGUCUAACAUUGACUUUCGUUUUUGCUGCUUGGUCAGUUGCCACAACAAGAAAAUUCAUUUGAUUGUGGUCUCUUCUUACUCCAUUAUGUGGAACUUUUUCUGGAGGGUGCGCCAGUGAACUUCAGCUCUCUCAAAAUCUUGAAGUUCUCGAAUUUUGUAGGUUCUUUAUCCUUAAAUUACAAAUUCUCUAUAUGUGGCGUAUCCUGUUGGUUCUAUACACUUACUAAACAUUUGUCUUUUUAAUAUUUGCUACCUUAUAUUCAAGAUUGUCUAUUCAUGAGUCAAAAUGUUUAUCGGAAUUAAGAUUUAGUAUAUCAUGUAUCCUAAAUGUUGAGGAAAGUGCAAAAUCUAUCUCCACAUUGGUGUGGUAUUAUCUACGUUGAGCCUAAACUCUUACCAUUUUCUUUUGAUUUCAUCUAAAAUGACUCAUUUACCAAUUGAGAUAAUUGUCCUUACUUAUAUACCAUGGACCUCUAUCUUUUCCAAUCAAUGUGGGACUUCAAUUGGACCUAAGAAUCCUCUCCUCAAACCAAUUUUCACACUUGAGAGCCUCCCCUCAAAAAAUCCAUCCACCCUGACAAAGCUUGGUCUUUACCUGGUGGCACAACCAAUCAAUUCCAAGGAAACAUUUGAACAGUGCAUCAGCAUUGUUCACACUGACGAUGAGAGCUUUUUUCUCUUAUCAAGGUGAGUUGAGAACAUCCAGAGAGAGCAGAGCAUAGAUCACAUUGUGGCACCUUCUCUCUCAAACAAAGAUAUAUCACACAAUCUUGCCAAUAGAGAUAAUUGUCCUCACUCAUAUACCAUUAAUGUCUUUUUUCGCUAGCUAAUGUGAAGCAAUUUGAGGACUGAUCUAAGAUGUACGUGAUAUCUUCAAGAGAGACAAUUUUCUGCAUAUGCAACGGGAAAAAUUCAAUCAAGCAGAAUAAAAGAGGAAUACCAAGCCCACAAAGAAGAAGAAAAAUUGUGCAAUAAAGGAGAAUUAGAUGAUUAGAUGAAAACAUGAAUGCGAUAUGACUGAAGACAAAGGUGAAUCAUAACUAUUGUUAAAAAAGUUAUAGGCGUUAUUGCAUUAGACGUGAUGACACAAAAUCUUUUGGGUUAUUGUAUGGGACGGGGAGGAUGAAAACACGUCUAAAAGGAAUAACUGGGCGAUUCUUUUAGACCCAUUACCCCAACCCGAUCGAUAGAUUUUGAGGUUCCCAUGGAAAGUCAAUGGGAUGUAGAUGAGGAAGAGACAUACUAAGAAAUUUGUGUUGUUGCUUGUGAAGACGUAGUAAAACAGAAAAAAACUGGAACUGCACAUUUGACAUGAGCGACGAGUCUUUUACCCCAAACCCUACACAACCCGACUUGUAGCCAAUUCUCUUUUCCUUUUCUUAAUUGAACCAAACCCAAAUGCAAGCCAAGCCCAACUUUUUUUGUGGAAUCAACUCAACCCAUUUUCAAAAUUGUUCAAUUAAGCAAAUUUUCCUCUAAGUCAUACUACUAUUAGCGAUUAAUUGGCUUGAAGAUGAGUUUCUUUUACAUUUUGCAUCGGUCUAACUAUAAAAGGUUGUUUGAAGAACUGAGUUGAGAUAUGAUGUCUGAAAUUCAUAUGAAUGUGGAGUUCAUGUGUCUGGAGAGUUCACAUUACUGUGUUUAGAGUGCAGAGUUGUUUUGAGUUCGUGUUUGCGUUUGUGGUGCAGAGUUGUUUUGAGUUCAUGUUUGUGUUUGUGGUGCAGAGUUGUGUUCAUAUGUGAGGGAUGUCUAUUACAUUUUUUUGAGUUCUAAAUAUUCUAUUUUUAUGAUGGAAAUUUUUAGUUUUUAAACUUUUUUAUUCAAUAAUUUUACCAUUCUUUUUUUUGAAUGUUUGAAUAAGAUAUGAAUUGCAUUUUUUCUUUCUUAUGGUGAUGUAAACAAUUAACCCACGACAUUUCUUGCAUAAACAUGGGUAAAUUUAAUGAGAAACAAAAGAGAAAUCAAAACUUUUGAUUCCUAAUUUUUCUCUACGAAUUUCAUCAGCAUCAUCUUCAUUUUUUUUCUUCCUACUGUUGCUUUGUAUUUUUCUCAUGAAACUUUUUUGAAUUGAAUCCCCCACGUCAUCUUAGCAACCAACGAAAUGCCACCACAUUUCUCCAACAAUUUCACAUCUAAUGCCUCAAAACCUGUAUUUAAAUACACAUUCGCUAGCCAAGUUUUUUUAUUUCUUCUUUUUAGAGCAUAUUACUGGUCGAAUUGGUAGAUAGAGUUAGUUGUUGAAGAUGAACAACAAAGUUGGUGGUUUGAGUUAGUUGCUCAAAGUGAUAGUUGGAGUUAGCCGCCAAAUGUGGUCGUUGUUAAGGUGUAUUGUUAGAGAUGGUCUUCACUGUGGUUAGUUUCCUGCAGUGAAUGUUGGUAUUGAGCAUUAGAGGUGAUUGUCAUAGGAUUUGAUCAUCAGAGGUGAUUUUUGGAGCUCGAAGUUGAAAGUGGUUGUCAAAGUUGAUUAUCAAAUGUGACUUUUGUAAAGAGUUGUAGUAGUAGGUGGUUGUCGGAGCCAAAAGUUAUCUUGGAUUUGGUUGUGGGAGUUUGUCGUCGAAGCCUGUUGUUGGUUGCAUUGAGAUGGUUGUCAAAGUUGAUCACUGAAGGUGAUUUUAGUCCAAGUUUGUUGUUGGAGGUGGUUAGUGAAGCCCAUAAUUGGUUUGUUGAGUUGGUCAUAUGAAAGUUGAAGUCGAAUUGGUCACGGAAGUUCGUCGUCGGAGUUGGCUAUCGUGGCACGAAGUUGGACGUCGUUUGAGUUGGCCGUGUGUAAGUGGUCAUCGAAGAGGGUUCUUGGAGUGCGGCAAUGGAAGUCGUCAACAAUGGACGAUGGGUGGACCCAUUGAAAACAUUGGAAGAAGGGAGAGUUGAGUGUGUCGGUAUAGUAUACCAACUCAAUGUUUGCCCACCAACUUUAAAUGUUGGUGGACUUGAGUUGGUAUUAGUCAAACAGCUCAUACAUGUUAUCCUAUUGCAAAGGAAUUAUGCAAAAUGUGAACCCAAUAGGGGCCGAGCUCGAUAUAUGCAAACUCUAUGGCUAGUCUUGGGCUAGUGAUUUAUAGGAUUGAGGAAAUAAGUUGUAACCAUAUUUGUAUAUGGAGAAUAUUUGCCACUGGCUUCUGUAUCCAGGCACCCCAAGAUCUCCAAUAAAUACAACAAAUAGACUCCCAAUCUUGGUACGCAGAUACUUCAAUACCUCGGUAUGUCUUGUAUAUAGUUAUGAAUAUGGACUCUCGAGCUUUGUAUUUGACAAUCUGACUAAACGUCCAAGUUCCAAUUUCGUAACCUCCACACUUACUCAACUUAAUCACAAGGACAGUUCACAGCACCUUUCUUAUUCUCCAUUCCCAUAAGCCAACACUUCUCAUGAUAACUUAAUGCAAGCACAACCCAAUUUUAAUCUUCUCACAAGCAUACUUAACAUCAUCAAUCAAAUCAUGUUGCAUUCUUAGUCAAUCCAAACUAUCAAGUGUACAUUAGACAUAAGAAUCAUGCAUUCUCUCACAAGAUUUCUCCCAUACUGGCACACCGGUUCUUAAACAACAUUUGACAUCAAGAACCCAUAAGAACAGGGUUGUGACUCACCAAUUUAUGCAUUCUAUCAGUUACUAUAACAUGCUAUUUCAUCGAUAAUGUCUGUCAUGCAUUUUCUUAACACUAUAUUUAUUUAGCACUUGGGCAGUUGUACCUUAAUGUGCACCUCCUCUAUUUUCAGUGCCUUUAUCGUUUUGUAGAUUUUUUAUAUUUAUGAUGCAAGUACGGAACCUUAUUUUUCUCUAAUGGCCUUACAUUGGUAACAGUUACUGUUUUGCCUUUAUUUGUGUAAGUUUCUGCAUGUCUAACAUUAAUACGAUCGCCAGCUAAGCCAGGACUGGUUCCAUCCUGCGGAGGCUUCUCUAAAACGUGCACAUAUCCUAAAGUUAAUUUAUGAAAUCAUGGCCUGUAAUCAAGCAAAGGAACUCUCUGGUAGCAUUGGUAAAUAUCCUUCUUCUGAUGCUAAUGACUCGGACAAUGAUUUAUCAAAACACGUGUCUGGACAGGCACAUAUUUUCACAAUGACCCAUUCUGACAACUUUUCGAGUGUUGGAAAAGAAGUUGGAUCAGUGUCCAAAGUAUCAUCUGACACAAAUUAUCAACCAAUAGGAAGAUGGGAGAGUGUCAUGCCACCCAUUGAGGUAAUUUAUUGUUUUCUUUCAUAUAAUGAUUAUACUUCUCGUUUGCUUACUGAUUCACAGUCAUCGGUUAUGGAGGUGAUUGUGUGAUAUACUAGUUUUCCUUUGGCUCGUCUCUACCAGCAUAAUAUGUGUUCUUCAAUUUAGAGGCUGUGAUAGUUUUUGGGAUGGAGUCGAAAAUGGGUGUUAAAUACGUCAUUAUAAUGUCCCUGAAUUGUAGUGUAGAUUUGAACAAUGUGCCAGUAUGAGGGAAACUAGAACAUAUACAAACAUUGAUAAGUCAACAAAUGGGUGUCUUAUGUCUAGGAGAAACAAUAGUAUAGAAAAGAAAAAGCGCCAUCCUUCGAUUCUCAUAUUGUUCUCUCUUGGGUGAUAAAAAGGAAAAAAAAAAAAAAAAGAAGUUAAAAUGCCAUUUUUCUCUAUUUUAGUCUUUGUAAAAUGAGAAAGCAGCCCAAACAAUUUGUCUUUUGUAGAGAGUAGUUAUAAGUCUUUACUAUUAUAUUUACCAUAGUGAUGUUUACAUACAAAUUAUGCAAUUUUUCAUAUUAUAUUAUCUAAAAGAAGUGCAUUUGCUUUUGUUUUCAUUUCCUUUUCUGGGGGCGCAGGAAGAUGAGAAUGGUGAAAGAGCUGAUUCACCACAAUGCUUAGAAGAUCGCCCCCAAGCUUCGACGGUUUCUGAAUGUUCAUCGGCCUUCAGUUUCGGCCAACAAUUUACGGAAUUAGAAAUAUGUUGGGAAGGAAGAUAUUCUAAAAACGUAAAAGAAAUGUGUAGAAAACCUUCUCCACGGCUAUCACUUCAUGAGUUGCAAACGCCAUUGGAAUUGGGACAACCAGAGAUCUUAACCAGCUCAAGUGAUGAACUUAUCAAUUGUGUAGUAGAAGACUCAGAGGAGGAAGGAAAUGAAAGGAAUGAGAGAAUCGAGAUCCAAGUUUCUUCCUCCUCCUCCUCCUCCUCAAGGAACAACUUGUUCCUAUCAAGGCAAGUGGUUGAAUCUCCUGCAAAAUUUAGUAGACAACAUCAACAUAAAUAAUCACAUAACUAAGAAAUGAACAUCCAUCCAACACACAUGAUUAGGGUUUGUAGGCGAAAUUAAUCAAAACUCAUUAGAAGCCAUAUUUUGAAAUGACUUAAGAUAGGUGGUUGUGUAUAAUAUUAAAUCUCCUUUUUCACAGCCUUUGUAAAGGUAUUGUCUGUUUGUGAAUAUGUAUGUAUAUAUGUGUGUGUGUGUGUGUAUAGGAACCUUAGCAUACUUUCCACCACCCCCCAUCUUUUCAUGACUCCAUCCACUCAUCCUAUCCUUUACAUUAUGAUCAUAAUAAUAAAGUGAAAAUAUCACUUCGAUCAAAUUUUACUUCAACGUGUUUUCUUUUAGUUAUUGUAUUUGUAAAGAUUAGUUAUUAACCAUCAGACCAAAAGUAUUAACAAAUAUAACUAAAAGUAAUAACAAAUAUAGCUAAAUCUAAGACAAUAUAACAAAAUUUAGAUUUACCUUUCAAAGUCUUGAACGAUAGCUAUUAACAAUAUAUGGUUAUACUUGUAUUAACCUACUAAAUACUUUAGGGUGAAAAAAAUUGGUGUUUGGCAAGUUCAUGAAAUGUAUUCUUUUAAAAUCAGUUUAGAAAAUAAUUUAUUUUAAAGAAAUUAAUCAAAACUAAUUUGUUUUAGAAAAUGAAUUAUCAAAUUGAUCCGCAAUUCUCCGUGCUUUAUUACACUAUUAAUCACAAUUUACUUCACAAUCAAAUUCAAUCAAAAUUAUUUCUCCAACAAAAAGGAUCAAAACUACCCCUUUAGUUUUGGAUUGGCAAAAACACCCCCGGUUAGUCCACUGUCUCCCUAUCUUUUUCUAUACAUAUAUACAUAUAGAAAAUUCUUUCAAAAUCUAUUUUUUUUUCUAAAUAAUCAAAAUAUAAUGUAUUUAUUUAACUUAUUAAUAUAAAAACUUUUGAUCUUAUGUGAGUGUUAAAUUUUAAACUUAUUUUUAAAAAAGCUUUUAAAAGAAAAUUUGUUCUUGAUAAACAUUUUUUUUCAUAGAUAAUUCAAAUACACCCUUAGUUGAUUUCGAGUUUAGCAAAUUAGACCAAAAUAUUUACAAAUGCAUCGGAUGCUAAAAAAAUCAUAAAAAAGUUUUUUAUUGCAUUGUAAUACUUUUGGAGAUAAUAAUUAAAUAUAUUUCAAGUAUAACAAAAUCAACUUGUAAUAAUAAAUUUGGCGAUGUGAAGCACCUCAAAGACUAAAUCUAAAAUUUGCACGUUUUACAAUUUUUUUUGCAUUCUAGUAGUUUGUUUGGUUUUUCAAUUUACUUUGUUCACCCAAGUUGGUGGACAAAUUUAUCUAAAGAAAAGAGAUGAUGUGAAUCCAAAAGCUUAGGAAGUGCAUGUUCGUGAAUGGCCUAUUACAAGAAUCUACGGCUAUGAAAAUCCAAGAGGCUUUCAUAUUGCUUCUUAAAAGGCUUAGCUAAUUAUUAUUACAAGAAGAGAUUAAUAUUUUGUAAUCCAAAACAUAUUUUGAAGGGCAUUGAUUAAAUCUAUUUACGUGCUCUAUCUAUACAUAACACAAACAAAAAAAAGAAUGAAAAUUUACCUUCUAUAAAAAUAAUUUUUAAUUUUAUUUUUGUGUGGUAGAGAGAUGUGGAAGCACCUACAUAAAUGCAUUCGUGAUGCACUCAAGGUUUUUCCUAUUUCCUACAAACUUUUCAUUGUUCCUAUCAAGGCAAGUGGUCGUGGUUGAGAUUAAGGAAGAUGACAAGUUUUAAUGUUGAAAUAUAGCAUGGAAAAAAUUGUGAAUAAUUAAUUUCUUCUCACGUUUAGUUAUGUUCUUGAACAAAUGAAACUGAUGUUACUCCUAAGGCACGAAAUACUAGAGAUUAUAACUGUGUAUGCUUGCACUUAGAUCUAAUUUACCUACAUUUUUACUACUAAUACAUAUUGGAUCGAUGUCAUAACCGUGAUGAAUGCUAUUUGUAAGAGAUCCUAUAAGGAAUUUAGCUUUGUAAAAUUGCGCCAAUGAAACAAGUAUCAUGUUGGUAAUGAAAUUUAUUAGACAAGAACGUUAACGAAAUAAACUUAACCAAGGUCCUGAACUUUAAAUUUAACUAAAAAGUUGAAUGAUUAUGAUAACUACAAAAUUUCGUGUUAAAAAAAAACUAAAUUUAAAACCUAAUAUUUUAUCGAUUGCAUUUAAUUUGAAAAAUAGAAGAUGGAUUACAUAAUCAUGUAAAUUGAAUAGAUGUAGUAAAGAGAGAAUUUUGUGGGAUGUUGGAUGGAUGUGAAGUAGAAUGAUAAACGAGAAUAUAAUAAAGAUGUGAAAUUAAAGGAAAAGAUAGUAAUUCAUCUGAAUGUAUAUUUGAAAUGAGCAAAAUAAUUAAUUGGAGAAGAAUGUGUAGAAAAAAUAAAUAAAUUAAAGGAAGAAAGAAAGAAAGAAACAAAAUUGUUUUGUUUAGUUUAGUAUUUUUUUUUUUCUUCAUAAUUUGUCUUUUAAGAAAAGAAGAAUUGAGGGAUUAUUAUGAAUUAAUUAAGAACUCAUUCAUUCUUCAGAAGCAGCACUUGCGGCACUGAGAUCCACGGAAAGAUCAACUGCCUGAAAACCAUAACAUAACACAUUUUACAAUCAUUUAACUUUAACACACACACUUUCCUCCUACAUUUCAUUUCAAUUCUCCAAUAAACAAACAACCUUUCAUCAUUUUCAUCAUUUCUUCUUUGUUUUCACUUGUUACUCUUCCUCUACUUUUUCUUUUAAUUACUCCCAUUUGAUCUUUUAUUUAGAUACGCUUUAGUUUUUUGUUUUUGUUUUUUCUUAAAAUUAAGACAAUUUUCUAUUUAGUUUUUAUCUUAUUUGAAUUGAAAGAGUUAAAUUUCAAAACUAAAAUAAAUUUCUAAAAUCUUUUCUUUUGUUUAUUUUUUAUAACAUUAUUAGAAAGUAUAAAAGUAAGUAUCGAAUUUGGAAGUAUUUGUAUAUUUAAUUUUGAAAAACUAAAUGAUUAUUAAAUGAGAUCUUUCACUUAUGUUUUUAGUUUUUAAAAAUUACCCUAUUAUUUUUUACUAGUAAGUCGGUAUGUUUUUCAAUCUAUUUCCAUAGAUGUUUUACAAAAUGAAGAAAAAGAAAUUAGUUUUAGAAAACUUGAAUCUUUUUUAAGGGUUUCUUAUAAAUGUGGGACAAUGUGUAUGGGAUUGAUUCAUGAGAAGAAAAUAAAAACGGUGACCAAAUGGUGAAGUUUGGAUUUUCAAAAGGAUGUGAAAAUUUUGAAGUAAAAGUUUGCGAAAAGAAAAGAAGUUGGAAGUGUUUGAAAAUGAGUGGUAACAAUUAUUUACCUUUCCAGUGAUCUUGCUGUACAUGGCAAGCACAUCUGUUACUGUCGACUCAAAAUGGGUACUUCCAUCGUAACUCUACAUUAGAAAGAAAAUAAAACCAAUGGUUUUCAAAAGCUCAUGAAAAACAGCCAAGUAGAAGCUCAAGCAACAUUGAUGACAUAUUUCUGACACAGUUGCUUUAAUUUUAUGAGUAAUGGAAGAAAUAGAUUUGUGAAUUAAGAAGUUACCGUAGAAAUGAAGCAAUUGUCUGUUUCAUGGUUAUUUAUGGGAACAUAUCUGUCAUAAGUUUCAUAGAAUAUCUCAUCAACGGGUCCAAGGAGGUCAAUCCCAGGCUUCAAUUCUACUUCAGGAUUAUCCGUCUCUGCUUCCGUCGAAACGAAAGCGAUGAAUUUUCCUUUUGGAGCAACGUUGUGUGCGUAUGAGCAACAGAAGAGGUACCUACAAAUUUAAGAAUUAGGAAAAACAACUAAUUAGCUACAAAACCAUUUCAUGUCAUAUAAUAUCGUAGCCCUAAUGGGUCAUACCUAACGCGAUGACCAUGUUUAUCACGAUAUUCACUUUUCUCACACUUUGUUGUACUUUUACCAUCAAUAUUGUGGUGGAGUAGAGGAAAAUGAAGAUCGUAAUAGACAUAGACAUGGCGAUCGUGUUACUACUACGAUAGAUGUAAUCAUCCUUAACAAGAUACUAUAUAAAAUGCGAUAGGACGUAUUUAGAAAGUUAGAUUUUGUUUGUUUGUGAGUGGCAAGUUAUUAUCAUUUGUAUAAAAAUCUCUUUUAAAUGUUUAUGCAUAACUCUUACAUGUCCGAUUUACGGCCAAGUUGCUUUUGCGGCAGGAUAACCUGAGCUGAAUGAGAAUCAUUGGUGUCUGGGAUUGGAUGACUCAUUAUACAAACUGCACGAGCUACCUUUCCAACCUUUUUAACCUGUUGAAUAUUCAAUAGAAAAGGAUCGGCAGAUGAAAAUAUAUAAGCAAUUUUGCAUAUGAGGAUCAGUCGUUGGCCUUCUGGUUAAUGGUUCUCUUAACCGUGGAAGUUGAUUCAGCCCAAUAACUCAUAGUUUAGUACUUUUUCGAUGUCAAGAGUUACCUUGUCUGGCAGAUACGAUGGGUCACAAACAACUUUUUUGCAUUUAGCAGUUUCUCCUUCGGAAGUCACACCAUAAGCUUUACCAUCACCAGCAAACUCAACCUGUUAUUCGAAAAUCAAUUAGUCUCAAAAGAACUGAAUGCUGGAUGUUCAGAAGGAACUAAUUUCUUCGCUAGCAACAAUAUAAUAGAAAGAGAAAAAUCAAGAAAGUAGUAUAGAUAAACUUUUUUGUGAACAACAUUAAGGUAGUGAAUGAAUUGUCACAUUAAAGCAAAUAACAGAAGUGUCGGUGGAUGACUUGGCACUACGUUAAACUUCAAAGGCUAAGUUUCAUUAUAAACUUACCAUGCUUUAAUUCACUAUUCAGAAGUCAAAUAUCACUGUUUCCUGCUUCAAAAUAGCUAGAAAUAACGGGAAUAGGAGAUGCAUUUACUGCUAAUCUAUAACUUUUUACCUUUUUCAGCAGAAAUCAGUUACUUUUACCUUUCAAGUUGCUUAGUAGUUAUUGAUUUAUGACGAACAUGAUGAUAAUCAGUAAAUUUACAGAGCCUAGGCUAGAACGCAACUGUUAGCAAGGUACUUUAUCAGUUUACCUUGCAUUCUGGCUUGUUGAGCAUGUAAGUUCCACCAUAAACGGCACUUAAACGGGCAAAUGCCUGCCAAAAUUUUAAAAUAGCACGAUGAAAAAUUUCCCUUGUAUGAUAUUAAAAACUGAAAGUUAUAAACAUGCCUGAGGCAACUCUCCAAGUCCGUAGAGUGGAUAGAUAUAGGGAGAUCCUCCUUGGAAGCGCGCCAAGGAUUCUGCGUAAAGCUAUAUACAACAAAUGUCAAUUCCUUUAAAGACAAGCACGUUACCAUUCUGAUAUAUUGCAGUGCAAUAUUUUCAAAUAUGUUUUCUAAGUAAAGAACAAAUGCACGGACGAAAGUAAAGAGUAAAAAGCAUAAAAGAUAGUUGUUUUUACCUUCAUUCUCUUCACAAAAUCUGAUGCUGGCCCAUUCAAAUAGCUAUCGUCAAAAUGUAGUGCCAAAGCAUGACCAAUAAAGUCAAUUGUAUCAUCUUCUAGUCCAUACUUCCUGCAAUACCAAAUGCAGAAGAAUGAGUGAAAAGUCUUUCUUCCCAUAAAAAUAAAAGUCACGUAAAAUCUAGUUUAAAACUAGUAUGGGGGACAAGACAAACUCACGUAAUGAGUUCUCUAGCUGUAACUUUGCUUAAAUCUAAACCUUCAUGAGAUUUUGGAUCACUCUCAUCAUAAUCUUGGACAUAAAUGAAGAACUUUCGAGCACGACGUUUCUCAAAAAGUCCCAUGAGUGGUGACUUCAGAGCUUCAACAUCAGUAGCUGGAACUUUGUAAACCUGAAGAAUAGAAGGAAGAAAAAAAAGCAGUGUGUUGACAGUUAACUUGAUCAAAUACACUAACAGCCUAACAUUUCUUUCUUUGUUCUUUGUAAUUGUUAAGAAAGAAACAAAUUAAAAAUAAAAAAAUAGAAACGGGAAACUUUCGGUAAGCAUUUAGUAUACCUUUCCUUUGUUGUACACGAAACUACCAUCAACAGCCUUGAAGUGUAGGUAUUUGGUAACAUCUGUGUGAAUGAGAACUCGAACCAAACCGCCAUUGGCCAUCAUGAACUAUGGAGGAAGAAAUGGACAGAAGCUCUCAGAUCGACCGCAACACUCAAGUCCCUAAUGAUAACAGGUUUGUUCUAAUUUUCUGUUUUUAUAAAUUAUGUUUGUGAUAGAACCUGAUAUACUUAAAUAAAAAAGAUAAUCGAAAUACAAAAUAAAUCAAGUAUUCGAGGUACGUGGAGCCUCCUAAUCUUGAGAUAACUCCCAAGCUCUAAUUCAUAUUCCAAAAUAUUGCUUACCUUUUCCAUUCCUCUCCAUUCUAUUUAUAACCAACUUUCCUAACGAACUCCCUAACCAAUUACUAUCAUUCAUCUAAUACCAAUAAAUAGUUAUAAUGUGGGAACUUGAUUACUAUUUUCAAAAAACAUACGAUGACAGUGGAUAAAUAUGUACCUACCUUGGGUAUCAUAUCAACAUUGUACUCUUUGCUCAAGCCCAACUGUUCUGGAGGCUUAUCAUUCCCCCUGAAACGCUUCCAAAGCUGUAUGGGGGAGGGGAGUGAAACAUAUUAAAUAUUAGAACAGAAAACUGGCAAAGGGAAUAAAAAUUUUAAUUAAUUGAAAACUUAAAACAAGAAUUUGAUUAUAAUGAACCUGUAUAAGAUUGAGAGAGGUUGAUGCUCCUCCAUAAUAAUCAUUUCUAUCCAUAUGAAGUACCUGUUCCAGAAGAUUGAUCACUCUCGUUUAAUCCCAAAAUCAAGAGGGAAAAACUAAAUGUACUCUCCAUGUUCAAGACCAGACCAGGAUAAGAACAGAUUCCUAAGGGAAACAAACUUUCGAAGAACAACUUAUCCAUCGCAGAAAAGUUGUUAGUUCUAAAAACAAAAUUAGCAGCUCAAAAUAAAGAAAUUCAGGCAUUGAUACAAUGCUGUCGAAAUGUUAAAACAAUAAUUCUUAACUGGAUUCAAAACAUUUCGAUUAAAAACUCAUCAGUGAUCGACAACAAAUUAAGCUAGAACAAAAAUUCCUCAAACAAAACUCAUCCGUGGUUAACAUUUACAUAAAGCCAGCCUGAAGAGCUCAAUCACUAUCCAAUACAUCAUUUACAACCUCCAUUUAUCAUCGUCGCAAGAUUUCAUAAACAGAUACAUUUCACAGAUCUAUACAAAAUCCAAAUCCAAAUCCUAAGCAAAGCAAAACACAAUUUCUUAUCAACAGAGAUUCAAGGACAUGUACUAUUGGAAAGUGAUGAAGAUGCAAAACAGGAAAAAUAGAAAGAAAAAAAAAAGAAAAAGAAAAAUAACAAGAGAAUGAAUAAUACUUUAAGGCCGUCGACGGAGAGAAGGCCACUGAGAAUGCAUUCCUUAAGGCCGGUACCGAGAACAAUAACGUCGUAUUCUUCAUCCAUGGGAGCAGGAAGGAAGAGGAAAGGAGAGAUCGAGAGAGAAAUGAAAGAAGGAAUAGAAAGAAAAAGAAGAGAGUGGGGGUUUUGAAGUGGGAGAUGAGGAGCAAGUCUUUAGCGGGAACCAACGAGAGUAACGGAAAACAAAGCAACUGCGUCCUCUUUUCACGCUAUGACAUGCACGUGCUUUUCACGCGCUACUAUUAUCAAAUGACAAACCUCUUUUUCUUUUUCUUUUUUUAAUAUCAAUAUUUUUGUAGAAAUUUUGCUGUGUAAACAUUUUUUUAUUGGUGCAAUUAUUUAAAAUAGUAAAAUAAAUUAAAAUAUUUACAAGUUAUAUAGCAAAAAUUUAUUUUCUAUUUCUCCAAUGCCAUUAGGGAUAUCACUAGCUAUUUUGUCAUCGGAGGAAUGUUAUAGCUUCAAAUUUGCUAUUUUUGACAAUUUUUAUUUUAUUUUAGUGGUAUAAAAUAUAUUAAGAGAACAUAAUCGACAACUCAAUUUAUUCUCUCAUGUUUUUAUUUUGGAGAUUUCUUUUUGUCGCAUAUCGCGAGAAUAGGCAUACUCACUGUGAAGAGAACGAGGCAUUUGUUCUACAUGACAAGAAUCAGUACAACUACGAGCUCAUUCAAUGACUCAGAUUUCUUUAAAAAUCUCAUUGAACAAGAACUAUCUUUUUUAGUACAACACAAUCGUAGAGGAAAUGAUCAAACAUUCAACUUUUAGAUAGGAAAGACAUUCUAAUUACUAUUAAGUUGAAGCUCCCUUGUAAAUAUUUAUGAGUAUUUAUUUGAGAAACGUGACUUUAUUAUGCGUCUUGCAUUUUUUUUAAAAAAAGUAGCAAAAUAAAUUAUAAUAUUUACAAGUUAUAGCAAAAUUUUAUAUUCUUUCAAGAAUAGAAACCGACAGACUUAUCAAUAUCAUUAAUAGAAGUAUAUUAGUGUCUAUUAUUAAUAGAAUCUAAAAAUUUUGCUAUAUGUUGAAAAUAUUUUGUCAAAUUUGCUAUUUUUGACAAUUUUUCGAUUAAAUUUAUGCAUUUCUAAAUAAUAUGCAACUUUAUUAAGUUUGUUAAUUAAUAAGAAUACGAAACAAUAGAUUUCACCAUUCCAAAUCUAAUUGAUAAAUCGAGAGUACUACGUACUCAAUUAAAAAAAUCAACCUUUGAAUUUGACCUCUACAUGUUAUUGAACUGAAAAAAAGUGGAUAAGCAAAGUCGAAAUUAAUUAGAGCAUUAAUAAAUUCACUUACAUAUCAUAAAUUGAAAUCGUAAUUUUCUAAAAUUAAUAUCAAUACGUACACGCAACAUGUUCGUAAUAUGGCGCUAUUUUGAUUGCAUUUACUAUUACAAGGUGUUAAGUUAGGACUCCCCCUCUAAGCAUUCAUGAGGCAUGUAAAUAAUACCAUAACUUUCACGUACACAUUUGAAUUGUGCUUUUAAGUAAAUAAGAAAUCAAUACGCUCACCUACUUUUAAUUACAUACUUGUACUAAUCAAAAUAAGCUUUAUUCCUUCCAUACCGAAAAGUUGGAAGCUUAAACCUUCCAUCUCGCAAUUGUUAUAUUGAAAAACAUACGUACAAAUACUUGCAACUUUUUUUUCAAAAUUUUCAAAUAGUUUAAACUUUAAAACAUGUUAUCAAACACCAUCAACAUGUUAGUCAAACUCAUUUUAAUUAGAAGAAAACACGAUAAUCCAUCAUUCAUAUAGUCCAAACAACACUCAAUAAAAUCAACGUCACAUGACAAAUUCUCUUCAUUAUCCUUUGAACGAUACAUUGAUAAAAUUCCCUCGUAAGUCCAACCCGUAAUCAUUAUAAAACAUGCAUUUGAAAAUAUUUAUACAAUAUAACAAAAUUUCAUAUCGUGUCGAUGAUAGAUAAAUUUCUAUUGGUAGUUUUCAAACUUAACGUUGAAAAACUAACUUUACUCUUUAACAAACCAAAGUAUCCAACGUCCUCUCGAGUAUCAAAUUUGUACAUAAAUGGAUACCAAUUAUCAUGCCAUCAAUAAUGUCCUAAAAUAACUAAAGUUGGCAGUUGAUCAAAUCCCAAUUUGAUAGAAUUAUUGAAGGUUAAUUUUGUCUUUUACUCUUAACUUUUCUUAAUGUUUAUAGUGUCUAAUGGUAUUCUUUAACCGUCUUACAAUUUUUAUGUACUGAAGACAACCCUCUUACCCUACAACAUUUGAGUGUCAAGAAAAUUUUUUCUAAUCCUACAACAUUUGGAUGUCAAGAAAACUUUUAGAAAACCGCUUCCUACCAAGGGUGAAAUCGAGUUGGAUUGGGAGACAUUCUCAACCCAACCCAUAUUUUCGGGUUAUUUUGGUUGACAACCUAAAUAACCCAAAUUUAGUUUCUAACCCAACCAAACCCAUAAAAUAUAGGUUGGGUUGGGUUGUCUGGUUGUAUUUUUUUGUUUUUCGUUUCUAAUUUCUAAUUAUUAUAAAAGAUCAAAAUUGUUACGCUUAAAUUUCAAACAUACAUAAUUCAAAAUUUAUAUACCUAAUUUUUUAACGAUUUUUUUUAAACGCAAUUCAAUCCAUAUUUUAACCUAACCCAACACAACCCUUAUAAUAUGGGUUGAGCAGUCCGUGUGCUAUUCGGAUUCAACCCAAAUUAGUCCGUACACUAUUCGGGUUCAACCCAUAUUCUUACCCCUACUUCAUUCGUACAUAUGUGGCCAACAUGGAUUGCACCAAGAAAGACCAUAAAAUGAGGAGAGUUCAAGCAACUCUUAACCUAAUUCUAACUAUAUAUUCCAAACUUGUUGCCACUCGCAGAUGACUCUCCCAACAUAAAAGAUAAAAAAACCUUUGUCAAAGCAAAAAAAUGUGACUGAUAUCUCUUUAAAAUAUAAAAAUAAAAAUAAUUGGAAACUUAAGAAAGACAUUGGAGCUUUUUUUAGAAAAAUAAUAAUAGAAAUAAUCUAUUUUUUUUAGCACUAAUCAGCAUCCCAAAAACUUGUAUUCCUGCUAAGAGGAAAACAAAAGGGCAAUGAUGUGUAUAGAAUAAUAAAGCAAAAGUUAAGGAAGAGAGAGAGAGAGAGAGAGCAGAGCAGAUUCCAAGUUAUCAACAUGGUGAACUCAACUGUAUGUAUUGAUGAUGAAAGUAAAUGAAAGAAUACCAAACAAAGAACAAUUGCCUGACAGCCACCAAACUUUAAACAAUAAACAGUAACAGUCCAUAUUUUCCUUGUGUUUUUCUACUGCUCCCCACAAGCCCACCUGUUGGAAUAUAAGGCACAACUGAACGCUAAUCAAAAGAACACCACCAACUUCAGCAAAUGCCCCGACCCUUGCCUUUUAUUUUUUUACAAUCUUCAUCCCUUCACCCUGUAUUGAAUGCUUCAGAAACACAAAAUUAGAGAAUGUGUUUUUCCAUAGCAAAGAAUUCAAGCCAGAAACACAGACACCCCGCAGCGCACUCACUAGAAAACAAAUGGAAAAGUAAAAUAAAUUUUGUACUUCCAAAUGAAACAUUAUGAGGGUUACCAAGCAAGUGUUUACCCUUGUGUCUUACGUUCAGAGUCUACACUGUGUCAAAAGCUUGAGAUAUCAUUUUAAUGCUCACAAUACAAUAAAAAGGAUUUUUUAUAAAUCAUGAGAAACUUCAAAGAACAGGCAUGUCGAAGAAAACAUCAACUAUGAAAAUGCCCUACCCUUUGCAUAAACAAGCAAUCAUCUAAAGACAAUGUCAGUUUGGGUUCAGAAGAACACAUAGCAACUUUUAUUAUAAUGGUCGUAUGUCAAGAACUUUAAAGAGAGACGAGGAACCGAGGAAGUGUAGAUAAGAACCUACAUUAGAAUGUCACAUGAUUCUUUUGCUAAUUAUAAGAAGCUUCAUAAGGAGAUACAAAAUGUUCAAAAGUAAUAGCCAUGAUCACCAAUACGUUCUAACAAGAGAAUUUCAUCUCUAGGAAUAGUAACCAAGGAGUGAACAUAUCAACGUAUAAGCAACCAAUGUCAUAAGAUGUAUUUGAAAGGAUGUGGGGAUAAGUGGAUAAUAAUGAACAUAUACAUGUUGUGCGGGGACUUAGACAUUGUGAUAGUAAACAUGUGGAAGUUAAAGUUUAAUGCUCAUAAUUUCUAUCAUGACAAUAGUGUAGCUUCCUUUGGAUGUAUGAUUAACAUGACCGAAAGGAUUCCAAUAGAAUGCUUUCUCCUUAAUACUAAAAAUCCUACAUAAUCGUAAAAAGGAUGGACAAGUACAUCAUGAAUGACAAGCCAAAAGAAUGACAGCAAAUGCUCACAACCCUCUUAAUCAAAUGGUAUUAUUUGCUAAUUGAGUCUCAUUUGCAUCAUUAAAGAUUAAGAAAUAAAGAAAAAUUGCAUGGAAAGUUAGACCAUUAGAGAACUGUAAGCUCGGACAUGCAGAGUAAAUGGGUAAAUUAGUGUCCAUGAAUGAAUAUCGGACAUGCAGAGGAAAUGGAGAAUUGUAAGCUCGACAUAUUACACAAAAAAUCAAAACAGUGAAACAUAUACUUCGAAUAGAUAUAGAUAUAAAUUGAGUCAGCAGAGAAAAUAUGCGCUACACAUUGACGUAGAAACCACAACUACACCUGCAUAAUUUCACAGUUCUUAGAUUAGUGAAGUUUUAAUUAAAUUAGUUAAGCCGGAGAAAGAAAACACGUUAGGAUAGUUAAGCCGGGACAUAGGUCAGAUUUAUGUUAAUGGCAAUGAAAAAAGAGAGGAACGACUGGGGAAAAGGCAUUGGAGCUUUAAAUUAUUUUUAUACUACAAUAACAAAAUACAACAUUUUAAAAAGGAAGAGUCUUACAUUAAGAAUAACAUCCAAGAGCCUUACUAACUAGCUUUGACCUUAUCAUCGGCCACAGCAUUAAGUAUUGGCAGACUACUCAAAAAUUCAUCAAGGCCCUCAAAGAACCCAAUUCCUUCAAUGUUAUCCUCCCCAUGUUCUCCACUUACGCCUGUGGCGGGUUCUUCCACCUCAUUGCUGAAUUCCACAUUCAAAUCUAACUUACCUAGUUCCUUUGGCCCUUUCCCUUUAUGCUUCUUCCCAGUACCCCCUACGGCUGCCACAGCCUUCUUACUGGGCUCAGCCUUUGUAGAGUUUGACAAACCGAACCUCACCAACCCAUUUUGUUCUCCAAACUGCCCAUUCAUAUUCACAACUUCAUCUGUGGUUCCAUUCCCUACAUUUCCUGUGUUCCCUUUCAGUGAGCUCUCAGAAUGUGCUCUCUUAUCAAUUCUACUACCCAAACCUCUCUUAGGCUUCUUCUUCUUACUUAUCCUUCCCCACUCUUCAUCAGAACUGUCACUUGGUUCUGAAACUUCGACAUAAAUAUCAUCCUCUUCACAAAAAAAUUUUGGUGUAGAUUUCUUGAUCGGUUUAACAUUUCUAGUUUUCCCCGACUUUAUUCCCACCUUACCAGGCAAAGGACAGGAAAACAUAGCUGAAAAGGGCGACCAGGCUACAGAUCCCACUGCACCUUUAGCAUUGGGAGAAACCCCAAGUGGGAAAAACCCCCAGCAGCAGAAGGUAGAAGCACUAUCAGCUACCGGCGGUGAAGGAAUAACAAGUGCUUGAAAUGCCUUGGAACAAUUCUGGCACCUAAGCACACAAUCCUCGUAACCCUUUGGGUAUUCAUACAGAUUAUAACAAUAUGGACAAGCUGUCCAGAAACUCGGAAUGUUCGACUCAGUCGGCAAAGUGGACUCAGUCGGUAAAGUAGACUCUGCCUCCCGUGAGGGAGGAUUUGAGUCAAUGUGCUGCUGAGUAGCUUCCGGAGUUGACUCAUUGACAUCACUGACAUUUGGCCUCUCUUCCUCUACGGUUACUUUAGCAUUCAUCGAUUUGGGGGUUUUUCUUACAAAGUGCUGCUGCUGCGGAUCUUCCUGCUGCUGUGGCCGGUGAGGAGACAGUUGAGUAGGUGGUGGCUGCGGAGGCUGCGCCGGUGGUUGUGGCGGUGGCGGUGGCGGCUGCUGGCGUUCCGGCGGUGGUGGUGGCGGUGGCCGUUCCUGAUGCUGAGGCUCCUCUACCGUCAUCCUAGUCUCCUUCCUCGGACUAGUUCUAACCGGCUGCGGAAAUUGUGGCUGCUGCGGCGGGGACUUGGGUUUUUGACUCGACCCAGUCGUUCCAGGGCUAAACUUGUUGGAGCACAUAAGAUAAUCAUUAUCAUACAACGCUUUUCUCAACGGAUUCGAAAGCACACACCAUGCAUCAGACACAAGCCUAAAAGCGUGAUCCGCAAAAGCCACUCUAUUGGCCUCCGGGUGAAGAAGAAGCGCUAGUCGUCGAUACUGAGUAGCAAUUAGCUCAAUGCUCUGAGUCGGCUGUGAAAUUUGCAAAAUACUGUACCAGUCGUACUGAUUGUUGAUCCGCCCCUCCGCCGCCAGCAGUGUAUCCGCUACAGCAAUUACCCUAUCCGCUGCCUCCAGCACUAUCGGGUCCGAUUCCCUAGCCCGGAUCGCAAAGCUCCUAGUUCCAUAAAAAUCACGCGCCGCCAGAAGCUUCUCCGCUAUGCUCAACCACCGCAACGCCUCCGCCCUAUUCCCCCCACCGCCGUUGUGGUCCAUUUUCCGACCUCACUCUCCCCCUCUCUCUCUCUUUCACUCUCUCUCUCCCCUCCAAGCUCCAGCUCUCUCCCCCUCUCUCUCUCUCUCUCUCUCUCUCUCUCCUCCCAGUUUCCACUGAUCUGGUCCUCUGUUCUCCACUGUAAUCAAGACAAAAGAGCUAAGGCCUUUGGGUUUGUGAAAUGACCAAAAAACACAGGAAUCUCCCAUCAAUUACUAACCCAUUUCGUCCACGCUUGGUAGGUUUGAAAGGGUACUUUAGUCUUUGUACAAACAUCCAAAAAUAAUUCCCUCUUCCCUCUUCGUCAUUGUCACAGUUCUUGAGAUGAAAAUGUCUGAGAUGUUGGAGUUAUGGAAGAAAUAUCAAAUUUUACUGUCCUAACCUUUCCUUUUUUACUUUCUCUCUUUAAUUUACCCCUCGGAUGAAUAAUUCUUUAGAUUAACUUUGAAACUCUGAUGUAAACUCCAUUCCUCCACGUGUCAGAUAACGCUAAGAUUACAUCACGUGAUCCACGCUACACGUGCGCCACGAUUUUACAACUUUCGUAAUUUCUGCUCAAAAUGGAAAAACAUACAAAAAUAAAAUAUCAUUAUAAUUUUUUUUAAAUUAAAACAAUUGAUUUUUUUAAUUAACUUUUGUUAAACCUUGAAAUUAAUUGGGUAAGGUGGCUCACAUUUAUAACUCAAAUUGAGUUUUGAAUUAAUUUCACAUUGUGAUAUAAUUAUUAAAGAAAGAAAAAAGAAAACUUUUGUUGGGAUAAGUAAAUAUUUUGCUAUUUUGUUGUUAUUAUUGGAUCUUCCUCCUCAACAAGCAAGGUGUGAAGUCAAAAACAAGAUUUUUUACUUGAAUGUGGAAAGUAAUGCAAGGUUAUAUAAUCUUCUCUUUGUUUGUGUUAAAAUUUAAUGCAUAAGGUAACAUUGGGGGGUUAAUUCGUAUAUAGAAUGUAUAUGUAUAAGUGUGUCGAGUUGAGAGUUAAGUAGUAUUAUAAUAGACUUAUUUUACCUUUGAAAGUUAUCAUAUUUAUUAUAGAUGUGUAGUUGACUUAGAUUAUUGUCGAUAGGGUCUUCAUUGCUAGGUUAAGAUAGUUCAUCCACUCCUUGAGUUGGCAUGUGGGGUGUGCCUUUAUCGAUCAUCAUUCCACUCCAACUUUCUCUCUUCUUACUUCAAAUCUAAAAGAGUUUCAAAACUAGAAAAAGAAAAAAACUUUGGAAGGCUCUCCUGCUGCACUAGAACAAUUAGCGAUAAUAUCAAUGGUAAAAGGAUCCGAAGAAGUAGCAAGCUAAAACAAGAAAAACAAGCAAGCAAGAAGGGCGAAAAUUUAUUUUGAAAAAUGUUUACUAAAUCAACCAAAAAAGUUAGAAAUUUUGAUUUUGAGAAAUCUAGUUAAAAUCUCAUUUUUGCAUCAUUUCCAAACCAUUCAUACAAAUGUCUCUAUUGGGUGAACAUUAGUCGAUCAAAUUCGGUUUUUCAACCAAACCAAUUAUGGCCAGUUUAGUAAAUAUUUAAAUCGAUCUCGACUCAUUCAUUUGGUCUAUCAUGCCCAACCCUACCUAAUUAUUUGGGGUUUGUUUGAAAAUAGUUUUGUUUCUAGUUCUAUAUUUUUUAAAUCCAAUCUUAUUUUCUCCAAAUAUUAUUUUAAUAAAGGUUUUCAAUUUUUUUAAACAAACGCUUGAGCAAUAACUCAAUUAUCAAUUACAAAUUGUCACGUCAUUUAUCACAUUAUCAACUAAAAAUACAAAUAAUUAAAUUAAAAAUUGACAUAUGUCCCAAAAUAAAAUUGAAAACCUAAAUUAACAUGAUGUCACGAUUUUUCAUUAGAUUUUACAAUAUAUUUUCUUUCUUUGUACAAAUUAAAAUUUACAAUCCAAUAUAAUUAGAAGGGAAAAAUAGUUUUAUUAGCCAAAUGAACUUAGAGAAUGCCUCGAGAGAGAAAAAUACAAAAAGAAAAAAAAAAAAACCACCUCAUAUGAAAAAAUUCACUUUUUAAGAUGUCAGAAUCAUUUUAUUCUAACUUAUAAGGUAACGCCAAAGCAACAAAUGAGAACACUCACACACUUAUUUCAAAUCUCAUGGAUGAGCUCCAAAACCUACUAAAAUUAAAUGAAGUAAUCCAAAUUUAGAUGAAUCCAAUAAUAUAGUUCAAAUAAAACGAAACAAUUAAUGAAAAUUAAUACAAUAAAUGAUAAGGGGUUUGUUUUUAUUUUAAUUAGUUCUACCCUUCUUAAAUUAGAAAGGCAACAAAAGAGUCCAUAAAUGUUGUAAGAAUUGUAGUAUUAAAAUGGAUUGAAAAUAAUACACAAAGGUGAUAGUGAUAAUUAUGGGCAAAGAGAAAAGGAAAAAGUUUAUAAGUAGAGAAAAGGUGAAAGGCGUCAAGUCUGAAUAAAUGCUUGACCUUUAUAUUAUCCCAAAAAGUGAAAAGAAAAGAAAGGGAAGAAAGAAAUCAAAUAAAAUGUAUAUAUAUAUAUAUAUAUAUAUAUGGCUUUUUUAUGGUCUUUUAGGGCAUGAUUUAAAUGCCUAAUAAAUUACUCAAUUUUUAAUCUCUCCUCUCCUUCACAAUAAAGCAAAUUUCCCUAUUUUCAUUUAAUUGAUUUUCUCUUUUGCUUAUCCCACUAUUUUUUAAUUUUAGAAGCGUUUGGAGUAAAAAGUGACUUGUAAUAGUUUGACAAUUAUAAUAGUUUGUGUUUGAUUUGUUGUCAGACUUGAGGAGAGUAGAAUGAACUAUUUUAACGCAACUUCACGAUUGAGGCAUGAGAAAUAGAGUUAUUUUCCUCUCCCAAUUUUACGCUGAAAUCUCAUUCUCUUGACGAGGUGCAUCUCGGAACCAAUGAUUUUUUUUUUCUUGGGGUCAAUCUCGACUGAGAUCGACCUUGAGAUUCUUCCCAAAUUUAAAAAACUCCUUAAAGAAAAUUUCUCAGUCUCUCUCGAUACUUCUUGGGGCAACCUUAGUCUGAGAUCAUACUACAUAAUAUUUUUCUUUAGUUCGGGGCUAUCUCGUUGAAUGCUUAUGUUCUUUAGUUUGGGGCUAUAUCGGGACAACUUUGAUCCGAGAUCAUUGAUAUAAUUGCUUUUGCUUUUCAGCUCAGUGCAUCUCGAGACCAUGAUGGCUCGGGAACAAUUAACCUAAAUGCUUUUGUGUUUCAACAUGUGGACUAUCGUGGGAAAUUUGGCUCGAGAAGAGUUAACCUCAAUUUCAAAUUUUUAAUUCAAAAAUGCAUCAUCUCGAUGACGUACCCAAGCGAGAGGGACCGAGACAUUUACUUCAAGUUUUAAAAAAUUUGGAAAGAAUCUUGAAGUUGAUCUCGACGUAUAAUAAGGGAAGUAAAAUAGUACACUCCACUCGCUUAUGAUCUUUAUUAUAGAGUGUCAUGUAUCAAAUAUCAUUUUCGACAAAUACUACUAUUGGUUGAAAGGAUGAAAGGAUGAAUGCAAAUUGUAAAUGGUAGUUUCAUCAAAUUUUAUUAUAACAAUUUCCAUCCCUUUUUGAAAACCAAUUGAAAUGGAUAUUUAAUUUGUUACUAAAAAAGAAAAAAAGAGAAACGUUUGGGUUUGUUUCAUGAAUUUAGGAGGUCGGUGUUGGUCAUUUGGGCUCCAUUGGGUUGAACUACUUUUUAAGCCUAAUAACACAAAUAACAAUUUUUACUUAUUUCAUUUUAUUAAAUAUAUAUGAGAAAUAAUUAUAUUUAAAUUUUUUAAAAUUAAAUCUAAACGAUUUUUUUUGGAUCAAUCACGAAUAAUUAAAUUUGAAUUAACUAAAAUUCACAUUCACGUCAAUUGAUGAAUCUCGACGAUGCAUGUGUGAUGUGUUUUUAAAUUAAUUACUUUAAUCAAACAUGUUCAUAUUUAAUUUAAUCUAAAUAAAACUAAAUUUUGUUAUCCAACCAAAUCUAAAACUCAUACAAUAAUUAUAUAUCUACAAAGUUUAUAGGAAAACACACUUUAUAAAUAAGAAUUCUACUAUAUACCUAAAAGAAAAUAUAGGAUUCAGAGAUUAAACCACGUUCGCAUCAAAUCUAAUCAAUUAUCCACAUCAAAUAUAUUUAAUGCAAGUGUCUAUAUUGAAGUGUCUUCUACAUGGGACCUCAUUUAAACCUUUGUUCAAUAACUCUCCUCCUACUUCUAGUCGAUCAGAGAGAGUAGAGAAAGAGUAAUCACAUGUAACCUUAAAAAUAGUCUGUCAUGGUAGCCAUAACCGAGAUGCAGAGAAGAAAAUCUGUGGAGGAGCAAGAUGAUCAUAAAAUCACUACCUCGAGUGAUCAAAUGCAAGCAGUAGUAGUCAAGUCAAACAACCUCCAACCAACCAUAAAGAGAUCAACAUCCAAGUUUUUUACUACUAAAUCCCAAACACACACACACAUUAAUUCAAACUCUAACUUAACCUUGGCGUAAACACCCUCAUCAAUCUUUUGAAGAUUGAGCAGAGAAGGAGGCCAUGCACUCCCAUGGCAGUCGCACUGAAAGAGGUUUGUGGCAUCAGAGGUUAGGCUGCUUCUGAUGAAGGUGAAAAGUAAGGGUGGGCUUGGAGGCCCAGUAAAUGAAUAAGAAGAGAGGCCCAGAGCCAGAAUUAGAGGAUCUGAUCUGAUUGAGAGAGAGAGUUAAGAAUAGAAAAGAGAGCGGGAAUUACGAGAAAAUAAGAUAAAAUGGGAGUAGUCAGAUGGUGGGGGGAGUGGUGAGACACGACGGGUACGAGGGUACAAAGCUUUGACAGUGAUACAUCACCCCCCCCCCCCCCCCCCCCCCCCCCCCCCCCCUCGUACGGCCCCCACAUCGAUAUUCACCACUUUCCCCCCAAAUUCAAUAUCUAUUCUUUCUCAUCAACUCUAUCUCUUUGUAUAAAUAUACCAUUUUUUUAAUAUAACAAAAUACAUUUUUUUUAACAAAAAAAUAAUAGUGGGUGGCAAGUUAAUUUAGAUAUUUUACAGAAAUAUUUUUAAGGUUUGUAAUUUUGCAAAAACAGUAAAAAUAAUAAAAUCAAGUUGUAUUUUAUUUUUUUGUCAUUUUUGUAAAUAAUAAAGUAGGUUUGUUGUAGAUUUAAUUAUUAUAAUUUGUUUUGUCAUUUUUGCAAGUUGCAAGUGAAAAAAAAACUCAAGAUUCAAUUCUUUUUGUUAUCCAUAAGAAUUUCUCUCGAUUUUCUUUUUAUUCUAUUUUCCUUCCCAACUAUAAUUCUAGUUGUCUCAUAAACUAGAAAUAGAAAGAAACCGUUUGUCGAAUUAAAUCCUAAUAUAAUCACAAUGCAGAUGUUAGGAUUUCCUAAUUUAGUAUUAUCAUAAUACUUGUUUUCGCUCAUUCCUCACACUUUCUCUCUCAUUGAACUUCAAAAUAUUCACAAAUAAAAAUAGAAUAUCGAGCUAAAACGAAAAUUUUAAUACAUCAAUUUUUCAUCUCAAUAUAACUUUUUAUACUGUAAAUUCUAAAAAUUCACUACUAUAAACACUCGGUAUUCAAAAUAUUCCAUAAAUAUCAUUAGUCAAUCAUUCAUCCUCUUAUGGUUGAAAUAGAAAUAGACUUUUUUUCUUCUUCUUUAUAUACCAUCUAACCUCUACUUUAAUUGAGAAGUGUAAUUUUUUUCGUUGAUAAAAAAAAGGAAAUGCUAUGACUUGAACUUGAAGGUUUGAUAUUAAGACUUAAUAGAAAGAAGAAAAACAAAAAUUGAUAUGAUGCAAAGCUUCAAAGUGACAUGACGCACAGUUCUCCAUGCCUACUCGAACUUUGAUAUUUUCUCCUAUUAUUGGAAAGUGCAUACAUUUUCUCUCUCUCUCUUCCUUUAUUUUUAUUUUCAUUUCUCAUAUAUAUAUAUAUUAUAUCCUUAUAUGUGUAUAUGUAUAUAAUUAAUGUUAUUGGUCUCUCUCUCAUUGUGAACAAAUUGGGUAAGUUGAUUUGACUCAAUUUGUUGGCCACUUUAAGCUUCAUUCAACCUUAUUUAUUAUCAUUUUUCAAAUGGGAACGUGUAGUAGUAUUGGCAGUAUGACAUUUGGCUCCAACUCCAAGGCCUUCAAUCACUCAUUUUUGUAAUAUGGGUUUUUCUUCUUUUCCAUAUUGAUUUACAUCGAUUUAAAUAAUAUAAUAUAUACUUUACAUUUUGUAUGAUGUCAUGGUGGAUGAAAAUAAAAUUGCAAACAUCAAAUCUAUCCAUUUCUUAAAUAGUUUGAGCAUGUGUGGAUGCAUUUGUUUAAUCGUUGUGAACUUUAUUACUUUAAACACUCUGAAAUAAUUGUUAGAAUUAAUUAUCAUUAACUUAGUUGCAUGUAUAGAUGGUUGUUUAAGGGAGGUGAUAUUUGUUGGACUCUGAGCUUUAGAGCGAUGAUUAGCAAACUUACGUUAGACACUUCAAGACUUUGUAUUGAAGAAAUAUUUUAAAUAAAUGACAGUUUAUUAUUUAAACCAUGUUUAGUAUUAUAAAGAGUGGUACGUAGCAAAACGAUGGUUAAAAUAACUUUUAUCCCUUACUCCAAACGCUUUUAAGGCUAAUCCACUUAACUCAUUCUAAGUCUUGUGUGUUCUUACUUUUUAAGCUUUUAUUAGAUUCAUCGUUCUAUACAUUUGUUGUUGAAUUUUCUUUUUCAUGAUACCUUGUUGUAUGAUAGAUACCUAUAUUAUAUGCUUUAUUGAUGGACUACAAAAAUAAAAAUAAAAAAUCAAAAGAAACUUACCCAAAUUAAAAUUUUGUUUUUCUCAAAUGAUUUAAUUUGGUCUAUUUUAUAGUUUUAAUUCGUACAUUAAAGUGGGUAUUUUGUUUUUUCGUUGAGAUAAUAACAUUCUCUACAGAAUUACAAUUUUUUUUUAAUUAAAUAUACUUACCAAAUAUAUAAUAAAUAUUUAAUUAAUCUUAACACAUUGUUCAAAAUAAAUUUCUUUUUAAUUCUAAUCAACUUAACCCCAUAAUCUAAUCAUAAAUUAUUCAACAUAUUUAAACCCAAAAUUUAGCUAUGAUAACUUUUAGUAAAAAUAUUAAUAAUACAUUGUUAUUCAAAUUUAAGAAUAUAUUUCUAUAAUUUGGUUUUGACUAAUUUUUCAAUAAUAAUAAUAAAAUAUAAAUUCUAUUUUGAAAUAUUAUUCUAGUUUGCUCUCUAAAUUUCAAAAAAUAUUUUUGAGGUUGAAUUUUAAAAAAAGAAAAGAAAAUACAGUAAAUUGCAAAAUGUAAAUCAUUCUCUCUCUCCACAUUUUUUUAAAAAAAUCAUUAUCUUUCUUUUGAAUUCUUUUUUCAAAAAUCCCUUUUCUUUUUCUAAUUUGGAAUCUCCGAGCAUGAAAAUAAAGUAGAAUCAAAUAAUUACAACCUACAUAGAAAAUAAACUAAAAGAAAUAUUACCUCAAUGAAUGGCAGAAUUGGAUUCAUAUGAAAGAAAAAAAAAAUUAGAAGGAAGAGAAAAAAAAAGGUACUAUGACGAAUAAAAAAUCACUAAGUAUACAAUCAAAAUUGCUUUCGAGUUGUGUUGAUCAUAAAUAGUUAAAACCCUAGAAAUCUAGGGUUAGAUAACAUAUUUGGUAGCCUAUUCUCACUAUUAAUUUAAAAUGACUUGAAUUGGUUGAAUUUAUUUUAAUUUUUGAAGUGAGUCAUAAUAGAUGUUAGAUAGGAAUGAUAAAACCUAUUUUUAAAAUAGUUUUAGACUGAGUUUUAUUUAAUAGAAUUCUAUAAAUAUUAUUUAUAUCAAUAACGAUUAAAAAAACACAGAAAUCAAAAUUUUAAAUCUAAAAUGAUUAGUUAGAUUUUAAAUAAUCGUUUUUGUUUUUAAUAUUGAGCUAAGAAGAUGCAAAUAAUUGUCCACCAGAAAAGAUAAGUAAUUUUCAAAAACCCAUUUUAAUGAUUAAAAUAAAAAUGAAGUUUACAGCUAGUUUUUACUUUUUUUUUCUUUCACAAAAUAAUCUAUGAUAAACAAUACUUUUAUUCUUUAAAAAUUACUUUCAAAGUGAAAUAAACAUAUUAUAAAUAAAUAAUAAAUAAAUAAAUGUUUAAGAAAGUCAUUUCUGUCUCUCCAUUUCUAUAUUAUUUAUUGUUUAUUAUCGAAAGUGAUGUUGCCCUUUCCUUAAUUUUCUUAAAUUCCUCUCUUUUUCUUCUUUUAAUUUCCAUCAAAAUUUCAAAAUAAAUUUUCUGACCCCACAAAAUUAAAAUAAUAUUAAGAAGAAGAAGAAGAAAGAAAAAAAAAAAAGUGAUAUAUACAAGCUGGAAGAUUUCGUCAUCCUUUCCUAACUUUAGAAAAAGGAAGAAAAAAUGAAAAAGAGUAAAACCUUCUAUUUUUGUGGUGCAAAUUGGGUCUACGUUGCACACAAUUAAAUUAAAUUAGAAAACGUGGAAGAAAAGGCAAAUGUAAUAUAUAUAUAUAUAUAUAUAUAUAUAUAUAUAUAUAAUAAAAUUAUUUAUUUAUUAAGUUUCUAAGAAAAAGAAAAAAAGAAAAUGAAAGAACAAUGCAUGGGACCCUCUAAUUGACCAUUAGUUGAUUUUUAAUUAGAUUUUGGGUCAACUAUGGGAUAUUGUUUUCAUAAAUAAUAUAUUCUUUUCUUAAAUUUUGUUUUGGGAUUAUUCUCCUUUCUUUUUUGCUUUUUAUAGAUUAAAAUCAUUACACAUUUUGAACUUUAUUUUUAAUAGUAAAAUAAAUUAAACUAUACUGAAAUGAUAGAAACUGAUCAACUUUUAUCAUUGUCUAUCAAUGUCACUAAUAGAAACAUAAUCUGAAAGUUUUGUUAUAUGUUAUAAAUAUUUUUUAAAAUUUGCUAUUUUUGAUAAAUUUUUUCAUACUUUAUGCUAAAAUCGAGUGUAGUGAACUUUUGACAUUUAACUUUUUUUUUUUUGUCAGAAAGUGUAAAUAGUUUGCAUUUUUAUUAUUGUUUAAUAAACACAUUUUAUCUACUCUACUUUAUGUUAUAGAUAUUUAUUUUAACUAUUAUACUUCUAAAUAAAUAAAUAAAUAAUUAUAAAAAAUAAAACAUGUAACAAAAUAUUUACUCUUUAUAAGAAAAAUAAAGUGCAGUCAGUUUUAUUAGUUUUGUUCUAGAGACAGUAAAUAGUUUGUCAAUUUUAAUAAAUCUUAUAACUUAAAAAUAUUUUAUUAUCUAUUCACGUUUUAAUAAUAAAUUUUAAAAACAUAUAUUUAUGUUAUAUUUCUUUUCUUAAAAAUUAUUGUUAUUACUUGACUCACGUCUAAUCUAAUUUAGGUUUUAUUAAUAGAAAUAUAAAUUUAAUAAAGAUGCACACCAAAUAUUUAUAACCUAUAACAAAAAUUUUAAAUUUCAUCACUGUUAUUCUAUUGUGAUAGAAGCUUAUCAAUAACUAUUAUUGAUAUGAUCUAAAUUUUUGUUAUAACUUUUAAAUAUUUUAAUUUAUUUUAUUAUUUUUAAAAAUGGCCCGUAUAUUUACAUCCAUCGUUAUUAUUCCUAUUUAAAAUUUUCUUCCCACACCUUUCAACUGCUUUAAUUAGCUAUAGUUUGUAUAUUUUUCUUUUCUCACAUAUUUUUCAAUACUAAUUUCCUCUUUAUCCCUUUAUUCCAUUUGCCAAUUUGUAAAAACUACCCCUAAAAUUAAAGCACACAAGUUCUAGCAAGGAAAAUGUAAAGUAAAAAAGAAAAAGAAAACAUUGGAACUUAAAUGUUUUAAACAAUGAUAUAUGUUAGUGUUUGAGUGUAAAGAUAUAUAAUAUGUUUGGGGUUUAAUGCAUACAACAAGAUAAACACUUUGAGAUUUUUGGUUAUAAUUUUGAUUAGGAUGCCUAUUUGUAGAAAACAAAAAGGAAUUAAAGAAAAACAUGUGUAAUAUUACCAAAUGUAUUUGUUGAGAUCAAGGUAAGAAAAUUUUCAACCAUCCAAAGGGGAUCGUAUUUCUUCUUUUUUACAUUUAAAAAUGUGUUGUUUUACUGAGUUUCUUCCCUGUUGUCGGUGUGAAGAUAGAUAAAGACGCGAAAGUCUCUCUAAAGUGAUAAAAUUCUAUUAAUCUUAAUAGAGUUUAUACAGUUAUAGAAUUAUAUCGCUAUCUACUAUUAGUAGAAGUGUCGUAAAGUCCAACAUGAAUAAUUUGGCAACCCAAACUACUAAAUCUUGAUAGAACUAAGUCAUGCACAGCGGAAAAAGAAUCGAAUUUCUACCCUAAUUGCCACAAUUAACAUGUAACCAUAAACUAAUCAAAUUAGGGUUUUAAGAAGUAUUACCUUUGAAGCUUACAAAAGGUUUGAUGUCUUCUUACCAAUUCUACCCGAGACCACCACUAGUACUCAACUGCUAUCCUCUAGACAAAGAACCGGGUUGUGGGACCCAAUUUUGGUGUAGAAAGUAAUGGAGAUAAAAUGAGAUUGGAAGCUUUCUUUUUUCUUUUGUUGAGAUUAUGAAAAUGAUAAAAGAGGCAAAAGUCCUUCAACAUUUGAAAACAUCUCUAUUUAUAGCCUAAUUACAUGCAAAAAUGCAUGCAAUUCAAUUGCCAAAUCUCAACACCUAAUAUUCCACUAACAAUUAGUGGAACUUAGUGGGCUAGGUGUCUAUAUCUCAUAUAGCCACAUAUCCCACUAAGAGUUAGUGGGAUUAUCCAACAAAAUGUUGGAUUUUCCCACUAACUUAGUCCAAGGGUAAAAUGGUCAUUAGAUUUUUCUAGUCAAAAGUCAAACUUUGACUUUUCUAAGUCAAAAGUCAAUAUUUUGACUUUUUACCAUUUUGUCCGUCUUGACUAAUUCCAACCUCCCGAGCAUGAAUCCGCAUUCAUUUUUCCAAAAUUCAAAUCACAUUUGAAUAUAAGGCCGGUCAAAGUUUGACUUUUCAAAGUCAAAAGUCAACAUUUUGACUUUUUACUAUUUUUGACCAAUUCCGAGCUUCUUAGUAUGAAUCCGCAUUCAUACUUAUAGUAUGUAAAACAUAAAGCUCUAUUUCUAAUUAGAAGACCGACGAUUAUAUCACUGUAUAUGUCGGUUUUCCUUUCUUCUCCCUAUUCGAACAAUUCGACUUAUUUCAUCACACUGUUCUAAGUUUAAUCCAUAUGAGCUAGCAGAGGAACCUAAUGGACCUAUAGAUCAUGGGCUCCAACGAUUCAAGAUUAACUAGCUAAACUCUUUUAAACCGAGUUAAUCAACAUUCGUUAACUAACGGGUCAUUCCACUAAAGUCCCGUAGUUGCACUCCCCUCACUAUAGAUAUAUUUGUGUCCAUUUGAUAAAACCAUAAUCAGUAAGUUAAUCCUUCACAGGUUGCUCGUAACCUUGGCUGGGUCAAAAUACCGUUUUACCCCCAAGAUUACAUCUUGCUCCUUAAGUCCCACUAAUCCACUAUUGAACAAUUGGUUUAAGGUUCAACCUAUAAACUUAAUCCCUCUCGGGCCAAUGAGAGGGUGGGGCCCCUUGUUCAAGACUUGGAUUCAGUGCUUAAGAGAGCAACCUAUCUACUAACCCUAAAGCGGGUAGGAGUGAAUUCCAUCUUGUACCCUAUGUUCCCAGCUAUCCACCCGAUCUUACCCCUGAAAUGGGAGGCUUAUUGGGCCAACGCUGAUGAGCUGCCCUCACCUAUGCAGAUCUAAGGAUAAUCUCGUAUGAACAGGAGUUCAUAGUUAACUCAGGAUUAAGACUAAGUUACCUAGGUCAUCAAUAAUUGAGAUAGUCAGUUUUAAACAGUAAACGGUGUUAUAACGUAAAAAUGACUAAUUCAUGGUUCAGUCUUAUGUAAACAUUUUACAUAGGAUGCCCCCACUUUCAUGUCUCUACAUGAACGAUUAGGAUCACAUCGUUUGUACUACAAAGUGGGCCGCAUCCAUAGUCUCUCAAAAUAAGGCGCCCAACCUUUAUUUCAUAUACUAUAGACUAUUUAGGCUAUAUACUCGAACUUGAUCCACGUUUAUGUUUACACAUAAAGUUCAAGUUUAUUCAAAAAAUAGCCUUGGAACUUUGAUUUAUUGGAUUUAAGAUUAUAAUAUUUAAUUUCUCAAUAACAACUUUAUUGAAUAGAAUAUGAUUUACAAACUACGAGUUUUAGGACAAAAAAUUCCAACAAAUCUAUAUUAUAUGGAUUGAGUUUAGUUGGUUUAAAAUAUGAGUAAUUUUUUUCAAGUUGGGUUCGGUCUUGGGGUGUUGGAAAAUACCGGUUCAACCCAACUCAACCUCUAGAAAACUAACAAUCAUACAAGAGAGUAUACAAUUGUUGGGCAGGGAAUGAAAAAAAAAAAAUACAACAUAACCCCAUAUUUUACGAGUUGGGUUGGAUUUAUAAAUUAAUUUGGGUUAUUCGAAUUGUCAAUCCAACCAACCUAAACAUAUGAGUUGAGUUGAGAAUUAAUUUACACUCCUAACUUAUAGAUGACGACAUAUUUCUCAAUGAGAUCUAGUCAUAUUCUUGAUACGAUAAUGGCUAGAGUUAACGAGUUGUAUAACAUGGAGAUGAUAUGAGUAGAAGUAGCAGUUAGAAGUUGUUGAUGGGUGAUGAUUAGAUCAUCGAAGAUAGUAGUCGACAUGAUAUUUACUUCUUCGGGAAGUUUCGAAUAACAAUAAUAAAAAGUAAUCAUAAAAUUAAGAAUAUGAUUGGUAGGUUUAGAGAAUUAAGUUUAUUAAUUAAGGGUUGUGGAGUAAAGUAUGGUUGUGAGCUCGUUUUGCUCGUGUUUUAGAUUGAAAACGCUUCUUCUUCACAUAUCUUUUCAGUUCAUCAGUCAUACAUCAGUCUGCCCCCCACUGCCACCACUGCCACACUCACUUGCUCAUGUUGUACUAACUACAAUACUAAAAUAAUCAACAAGCAACAUAACAUUUCUAAAAUAACUAUUUAAUUUCCUCUACUUUUUCACCUUUUUUCUUCUUAUUCCUUUCAUUGUUAAUAUGUGUUUUUAAAUCAUCCUACAUCUCUCUUCACCCAUCAACUUGAAUUCUUGGAUCAACCGACGAUUAUAUAUUUACGAUGGUUUUAGAACAAGAGCGAUACAGAGUGACGUCAUGUGUUCAAACUCUUGUAUUUUAAUAUUGGUAUUUGUAUAUAUUCUUACGUUAUAAUCUUAGCUAAACAUUUUAUGAGAAUGAACUAGGUUUUAUAAUUAGGAAUUAAAUUAAAAUAAAUUAUUUUCUAAAAAGGAAAGAAUUAGAAAAUGAAUGUGAAACUUAAAACAUUAGAGUUAAUGUGAUUGCUUAAUUAUAUGCAAUGUGUGUAUAGAUAUAUAGAUAUUGUGUAUGUUAGGUUGCCAAUUAAUUAGCCUUCAAUUUGUGUUUGAAUUAUGCUUGUGAAUUAAAGUAAAGGUUAAAUUAAAUGUUUAGUUUUGUAAGCUUUCAAGUUUUUUUUUUAAAAAAAUUAUUUAUGCAUACAAUUAACCAUCCAUGAUAAAAGAUUUAUCUAGGGAAAGUUUUUUUAAAAAAUGUAAAAGGUGAGAAUCGACACUUAGAAUAAGGUUUACUGGAAGAAGAGUUAUAUUCUCGUGGUUUUCAUAUUCGCACGAGCAUAAAAUUAUAUGAAAAACUUUUGUACAGUACUAUUUAGAUAUCAUAUAUUCUCUUUCUGUUCACAAUAUACAUAUACUUAUCGUUAUCAUUAUAGACGGAGGAGAGUACUAUAAAUUAUUUAAACUAUUUGGUACCCUUUCAACAAUACGAGUUUCUGUUCAUUUUCUUCUUCUCCUUAUUUAUUAUUCUUUUUCUUAAUAUCCAUAUUUUUUAGUAGAAAAAAAUUAAAAUUCCUUAAACUACUAUAAAAUCUUUUAUUUUAUUUUUUAUUUUUAUUUUUUUAGCCUAAUUCCUCCAUAACAUGAUAUAUUUCUUAUUAGUGGAUUAAAUUCAUACAUCAAUUUGUAAAAUUAAUACUAUAAGAAAUACAAAGUUAUUUAAUUAUGCAUUAUAGCAUAGGUUAAUAAUAGUUCAUGUAUGCUAAACUUUAAUCCAUCAUUUAUCAAUUUAAAUGUUGUUUAGAUAUUAUUCCUUUUAUUAUUGCUAUUUCAUUUUCUACUAAGUUGAAACAUUAACUCAUUAAUUCUUUUACCCUCUUAAUCUUUUUAUUAAAUAUUUAUAGGCAAAUCUCUCAUUAUGUGGGAUAUAUAUAUAUAAAUCUAUUUUACCACUUUACCAUUUUUCUAUAUUUUGAAAGUACUUCCUAACAUUUUGUUAAAAAAAAUAGUAACACAAUCAAGAUGUUUAGAGUUCAUACAAACAUAAUACAUGAAGUACUGAAAGUAUUAUAUAACAAAUCGAACUAAAAUAUUUAAAAAUAUAUAAUAUGCGGUAGACUAACGUUUAUGUUACUGAUAGACAUAAAUAGUAGUCUAUUACAGUCUGAUACUGAUACACGGUGACAUUUUGCUAGAUUUGUAAAUUUUUUUUUUUAUAUAUAGUUUUUUUCAUUUUAAAAAGAAAAUGAUAAGAUAUUAUGGAAAAGAUAUUUACGAAAAAAAAAGAAGAAGAAUUGGAAAUGUAAAAUGAGUUAUUGCGUCAUAUAUUGAAUAUAUUUGGGAUUGGUAAGAGAUGAUAAAGUGAAAGAGAGAAUACAAUAAAAAGAUUUAGUAAUAGACAGAAUUAGAUCUUCUGCCCCACCUUUGAGAAUCAGCAUUCAAACGAAUUUUGACUCCAUUUUUAAACCCUUUUCCUCUUGCCCCACUCUUUAAAAGCCUAAACCUAAGAAAGAAAGAAAAAAAAAACCAAUAAUUCAAUUCAAUUAAAACGUUUAGUUCCUCUCGUUCUUUGAAACGGUUUACUAAUCAUUUCAUUUGUUAUUUACUCUUUAUAAAAAUAGUUUUUAAAAACUUGUUUUUGUUUUUGAAAUUUGACUCAUGAUUUGAUCAUUGUAUUUAAGAAAAGAUACAUAUUGUUGUAAGAAACGUGGAGGAAAUAGACUUGAUUUUCAAAAACCAAAAACUAAAUACUCACCCAAAGUUAAAUUUUACGAAUUAAAUAACAUAGUUUUUAAGUACUUGUUCUUGUUUUUAGAAUUGAAUUCAACUCUUACACUUAAAAAAUAUACAUGAAAUUGAAAGAAAACAAACUUAAUUAAUUUUUCAAAACCAAAUAUUUCCCUUAAGGAGCCUUUAAUUAUAUAUUAAGUUUUUUAUUUUAUUUGUGUUGGUAUGCUUUGAAUCUAUUAAAUGCUUCAGACGAUCAAGUGUGGGAAUGUCGUUGACCAGUGAAUAAGUUGGGGUCCAAAGAUGGCUUGUCUCGAUGAGAGUUAGAGGACAACGACUCCUUAAACCUAAGAGAAAAUAUAAAUGAUAACAUAUUAUAAAAACCUUAGGUUUAAAUUUUUUUAAAAACUAAAUUAUAUUAGUCUCUAACUUUAGAAGUGCCACUAUAUUUUAUACGUUCUCUCUAGUAAAGUUCUUCUAUUAUGUGAAUGUAGUUAGCACGCUCUUAGUGAACUAAUUAUAUAUGUAAAUUUGUUUGUUAAUCCUUCUCUAGAGUACAUUUUUAUGUAUUAUAUCAUAAUAUUUGAUAUUCUGUAUCGGAAUUGAUAUGAUAUCUUACCUAUAAUAUGGUAAAUGACCCUUUAUAUAUGGUUAGCACUAAUAAUUUUAAACCCAAACCAAAAUUAUACGUGCGAACAACGUGUGUGGAAAAAAAUAAACAAAAUGUAGAUAUAGAAUACGUUUUCAAUUUAAUUAGAAAUUACAAAAACAAACUCUCAAUUAUGAUUGUGGUAGUAAUUAUACUUUAAAACUUUCAUAGGUAAUUCAUAAUAUUAAAUAUAAUCCUCAAACUUACAAUAGUUAUAAAAAUUGAACUCUCCCCGACGAUAAAAAUCGAACCCUCCAACUAAUACAUAAUUAAUUCUUAAGAUUUUUACAAUUUAAAUGUAAGAGUAUCGGAUUCAACCCUACUGAUUGGUUACUAACUAUAGGAUGGAUGUUUACAACAUUGUGAAAGAAGCUAAGUGGAAAGUUAGAUGAAAUUCAUUCAUGAAAGAUUGAAACAAUCAAAUUGUAUGCCCUUUUAUUUAAACAAGCUCUAUUCUAGUUUGAUCAAAUAAGUUAGUUUGACAAAUAAGUUAAUUAUAUCAGUUCACAAAUUUUAGUUCCCCACUACAUCUAAGAUGCUAUUUGAAUCAUGAUCGACGUUAAAAUAUCGAUUGACUAAAAAGUUUAGGUUUAUACAAUCUUGCAAUUCAUACUAUCCUACUUUAAUACCAUGUUCGAUCCAUGGAUCGUGAAAAAUGAUAGUAAACCUCUCUCAGACAUACAUUGCAAACUUACCUCUAUUUAAAAAUGAUUAGGAGGAUCGAUCUUUGAUCGUUGUGCUACGUAUGAGUCAAACUUCCAUGUGAAAAAAAAUAGGGCACAUUUAUUUAUUUUGUAGGAUUUGAAUUUAAUUUAUAUUUCACCUUUAGGUUUUAAAAUGUUUUAAAGUGAAAUCUAGAUAUAAGAAAAAAAAGUAGACCAGGAAUUUAGAAGACUAAAAGAGAUUUUAUAUACUGAUUUUAAAUAUUAUUGUAUGAAUGUUUGUUAUUAUUAUUAUUUUUUUUGUCUUCUCAAGUUUUUUCAAUUUCAAUUAUAAGUAAUCUAAGUAAAAAUAGAUUAAGCCUUCUUAGAGUUCAACUUUAAACAACAAUGUGAUCUAUCUAAAAUCACAUUAUCUAAUAUAGUGUUCCUAAACUCGGAUGACGAACUCAUUAAGAACUAGAAAGCUAUAAGUUAGAAAAAGCUUUAAUCGGAAUAACUACGAGAAAAUGAGUCAAACAAAAAAUAGAAGCGAUAAGCAAUAUAUUAGAUCUAGAUUGGAACAAUGGUGAAAAAUAUAAUAAAAAACUGCUUGAUAUAUAUGCAUGUAUCUUAAUAUUUCAAAAUUAAUCGAUAACGAAGUAGGGUUGAUGAAGAUCUAUGCGAUCACACUGAUCCAAUUGGAGUGAAGAAUUUCUAAUUUAAUCGAGGAUAGAAGUCAAAUCAAAGAUACAAAAAAGAUUCCUAGUCGAGGACAGAGAGGGCAUCCCCACCUCAUCUCCGUCCCCAACCCCGCUCAUAUUUUUUAAAAUUUAUUUCUAAUAUUUAUAUGUAAAAUCUAUUUAUUAUAUUUUCCUUUUUAAUUUCAUCUCACAAUUACACUAUUAUUUUUAACUUAUAAUCAAAUUCACGGCAAUAAAUAAACAAACAAACAAUUAUGUAUAUCAUUCUCAAUAAUUAUUUGAAGCUCUCUCAAUUAUAAAAUUAUUUUCAACUAUAGAAAAAUAGACUAAAGUAUUUAUAAUUAUAACUAUAUAUCCCGAUUACUUGUGGUGGACACUGUUUGUAUCAAUCAUGACAUAGAUAAACAAAAAUAUAAUAGCUAUUAUGUUCUAUUUGCAACUAUUCUCGACCGUUUUAGCAAUAGACGAGAUGUUCAUCUAAAUCUAUUAGGAUAAAAAAUAAAAUUUUGUCAUAUUUAUAAAUAUUGUCUUUAACAAUUUUGUCGUUUAAAACAACUUUUCGACUAGGAAUGAAAGAAGAAAGAAAAAGGAAAUGAUAAAUUGCCAACUGUAUGUGUGAGGGAGUUGAUAGAAUGAGGCAGACAUGGAUGCCUUUUUCAUCAAUCGUUACCCAAUCGGCGACAAACACAACAACAUGUAAAACCAAAGUUCUUUUGUGGGAAUUGCUUAACCACAAAAAAAGACUCAAACAUGGCAAAAACGAGUAAAAAGAAAUUAUAUAAAAUAUAAGUAAGAAGAACAUUAAAUAUCUUUAAAUCAGAGCCUUCCUUUUUUCCCUUUUUUUUUUUGCUUCUCUUAUUUCUCUCUCUUCAAUCCAUUGGAGGACUUUCCAAAUAAUGGUAUCUUGUCUGCAACCCCUCUUCAAGCUCUGUCAGUAAUAAACCUCAAAAGCUACCAAUACAAAUUUAAACCCAACAUCAGAUAAGGAAAAAGAAAAAAAGAAAAAACCCAUUGAAGAAACAGAUCUUCCAUUGUAGUAAUGUUCUAAGCUCUCUCUCUCUCUCUCUCUCUCUCUCUCUUUCUCUCUUAAUUUUCCUUUGCAAAAAACAACUUUUUUUCGUCAAAUCUUUGGUGGGUUUUUGUUAUUUUGGUUGAAUUUCUCUUUCAUCAUCCAUUUCUUUCCAUCGGUAAGAGAAAAAUCAUAUUGAUUUCUCUCUUUCAUUUGCAUUUUGCUAUUAGUGGAUGGUCUUUUGUUUGUCUUAAACAAAGAAACCAGAUUGUAGAUUUUUGUCAUUGUUUUUCUCUCUCCCUUUAAAGCUUGGGGUUUUGUUUCGAUUUUCAUCCGUACUAAAUUCAAGAUCCAUUAUCUGUGAGAAAAUAAGAAGAAUGAAAAAACCCCCAUUAUUAUUUUCUUAAAGAUCAAUUCCGUUUCUUUUCUUUUUAAUUAAUUCUUCUUCUUUUUUCUUUUUUGAAUUUGAAAGAAGUGAAGAUCAUGACAAGGAAGAAAAUUCAGAUCAAGAAGAUUGACAACAUAGCUGCAAGACAAGUAGCAUUUUCCAAGAGAAGAAAAGGGCUUUUCAAGAAGGCUAAAGAACUUGCAAUUCUCUGUGAUGCUGAGAUUGGCCUUCUUGUUUUUUCUGCUUCUGGGAAGCUCUUUGAUUAUGCAAGUUCAAGGUUUUUCUUCUCUCACUCUUAAAAAUUUCAUUCUAUUCUUGUUUCUUGCAUCAUGAGAGAGAGAGAGAGAGAGAAGAGAGAGAAUCUUAGCUUCAAACCACACACACACAAAAAAAAAAAAAAAAAACUUUAAAAUCAAUUAAAAUAAUUCUGAAGAAGCCAAGUACACCAAUCCUAGUCAAAAGAGACCAUAUGAGUGCAAUCUGAGAUGUAGGCUAGUUGGGAUUUGAAAGCCUUUUUAUAUAGGAAUUUUCACCCCAUAAAAUAUAGGGUAGAUUUGUUCUGGUAGAUUAUUGAGUUCUCUGAAGAUGUGAGUUUUGAGGUUAAAUUUCAUGAAAGUUCAGUAUAAGAUUGGGAGAGGAAUUAGUUUGGAAGUUUAGAGAAAUGGAUUUGGUCCAAAAGUCGAAUAAUUAAUACACACAUUGGGUUCUCUUGGAAGAUGGAAAAUUUGUUUAUAUGUUCAUGUUAUGUAUGAGUUUAAGUACAAUUUUCAACACUAUUCAUUCACAUUUUGUGAUUGUUUGCAUUGAUCAUUUUUCUGCUAUAUACAUAAAACAUCAUAUAUACAUUGUCUGAUAAAAGAAUGCCUUUCCUGUAAGAUUUGAAAUGAAAAGAAGAGAGCAGAGAAAAAUACAUAAACAUAGGUUGGGAUGGGAAAAUUGGAAAGAAAUGGAUUUAAAUUAUCAAAGAAUAUUAAUAAUAAUAACAAUAAAAAAGAAGCUUUUAUGGUACAUUAUUACAAAAAAGCUUUUAUUGAAAAUUUUGGAACCUAUGUAAGCUUUAUUGAUCAAAGAUAGAUUUUCAAGUAUAAGGUUUCAAACAAAAAAAAAAAUUUGUUUGUAGUCCUCAUCUUUUUAGAGAAUUCAGUACAUAUAGGCCUCAAAAAGUGGCAUUUUGCAUGAUGGGUUUUCUUAUUAAUUAUCUCUUAAAAUUUGGAAUAGGCAGAAGGGUAAAGCUUAAACCCUCCAUGUUCUUAACAAAUGAAACAUGAAAUAUACAUAAAUCUCCCCUUGAAAAAUUAGACCAAGUACUAUAAAGAAAAAAAACUUUUUCAAUAGAUAGGCAUAGUGAGAGAGGUUGAAAAUAUACCCUUAUAUAUAUAUAUAUAUAUAGACACACCAAACAUAAGAUUAUUUCCUAGCUUCUCUCUUUCUAGAAUCUAAUAACUUUUUCUCUCACUAUAAUGUAUCUAAAAUUUCUACAUUUUCUUAGUUUGGUUGCAAUGUCCCACACCUCAUAAUGAUAAUGAUGAUAUAAUGUAGUUUCUCUGUGUCAUCUUAUGACCUUUAAAUCUUGUCCUAUGUUUUAUAUAAGGGAAAUAUAAGUUAUAUAUAUAUAUAUUCAACCACAAUUUCUUUUUGCAUUAUAAUUUUUUUUAUCAAACAUUGGAAGAUGGAUAAGUAUGCUCGAAUUUUUCAACUAAAUUGACACAUUCAUAACAUACUCUCCCAACCGAUACAGUGAUAUUCAUAUAAAAAAAGUACCAAAAAGUUGAAGUGAGAUAGAGGAGUCUAUUGUGAACAAAAUAUCUUCCUUGGAAUGAUAUUUCUUUUUCAAACUUUAACAAAUGGAUAAAAGAAAAACAUAUAUAGGUUUUGGUUUUGAAGGUAGAUUUUCUAGUACAAAACUCUGAAACAUAGAAUCUCGUUUUACUAUUGAAGAUGGGGUAGAAUAUAAGCAUAUAUAUAUUAUUGUUGAAUUAUAUCAAGAAUCAUAUUAGAUACUUCCACCAUAUAUAUAAACCUAGCUAAAAUUAAAGCUUUAAGAAAAAUCAGAUAUAAAUAAUAAUUUUAACUUAGAAAGUAGAAAAAUGUCAUUAAAUGGACUGAAAUAGUUUCUGUAAUAAUAAGACAUGCAUAAAGCCAAUAUUCCUUUUAUUUAUUUAUUUCAUUGCACUCUCCUUGUGUUUAUGCUCUCUUUACAACUUUUCUUUCAUAUUUUCUGCCUUAAUAUUAUGUUAUUGCUUCUAAGAAACCUUUGUUAUAUCUAUAUAUAUAUAGAUAUAAGGAAACGAUUUGGAGUUAUUAAAACAUGAGGUGUGACUCAACCUCAUGUUUUUAAUUCAAAUUGAGAUAUCAAUACUCGUUCGUUUUAUUCAAUUCUAUCCAUCAAGGAUAUAAUAUGAUAGAAUGAGUAGUUGAAUAUCAUUCUAAAUAAUAACAAUGAAUAAAUAAAACUACUCUUGAAAAAGGAAAAGAGAAAAAAAAAUGUUAAUAUUAUACAAAUUAACUCAAAGAGAAUAAUUACAGUAAAAACUAUAUAAAACUGCCAUUAAAUAAAAAGUAAAGAAAUAAACUUUCCUGGUUUAAUUUCUUCUUCCUCUCCUUUUCUUAUUUGCCUUCAAAUACUCUUUUUUGUAAUACUCAUAUUUUAAGAAACAAUUCUACAAAAAGAUUUGGGAUUAUGUCCCAAUAUAAUUAUGUUAUGAGAUUGAAAUAAAUGUUAUAAAUGAGAGUAAAUUAAAAAAAAAAAUGUUAGUAAGAAACCCUAAUUGGUAGUCCCUUUUAGAACCUUAGAAAAAUUUAAUUUCAUAAGGUUCUAAAAUACUAUUUUUUUUUCAAGAAUUUAUUCUUGAACCACUGACAAAAUGUAUAAAUUCUUAAUAUGUCAUAAUUAGAUUUUAAUUCUUUAUAUUAUAAGCUAUGUGUAUAUAUAUAUUAUAUGCAGAUUUUUAUUAAUUAAUAUUGCCAUUAUUAAGUUUGUUGAUUUUGCAAUUUAACCUUUCCCUCUUUCUCUCCUAUAUGAUCUUCCUUCAUCUAAACCAAAACCCUACAUUUUGAAUUCUUUCCUUCUCCAAUGAAGGUGAACUUACACGAUAGAAUCCUUGUCCUCCAAAUCCUUCUCUCCAUUGAUAUUUUGACAAACCACUAAACUUUCAUAAAUGAUCAAAAUUUCACAUAUAUAUACAUACAUACUUAUUUUAUUUUAUAAUUAUAAUUUGAAAUGAUUAUUGAUUUCUAAGCAUAUGUUUUAUCAACUAAAUUAUAUUACAUGAUAUGUUCUAGAAUUUUUAUUUACUAGAAAACCAACAUUUUAUUAUACCUUUUCUUUUAAUAUAUUGAGGAUAUGUGAAAUGGGCUAAGCUUAAUUAAUGUGCCUAUUGAAAACCUUCCUUUGAAUUGCUUAGGGUAUCAGUGAGUUUCAUCCAUUGCAAAUGCUCCAUAUGACUUUUUUGUGUACAGUUUCGCUCCACUAUCAUUCAGCCAUAGUCUCUAAACUUCCAAAUUAAUAUCAAUAGAUCAGAAAGAUGAAGAAGUUCUACAACUAAUGUAGGAAUCUUGGUGUACUUAACCUCAAAUUUAUACUUUCAUGAGGAAUGCUUGUGUAUAUGGUUGAGCCAAAUGCCCAUUGUUGUUUAGGUUUAUUCCCUUCCAAACGUCACUAGGUCACUAGGUCCCUAAGUUGUAACAUUUGAGACAUGUAAUAUCAAGUUUUUUUCCCAAUGUUUUCAUCUUGGUAAAAACCAGUAGAAUUUGAAAUAUAGCGGUAAACUCUCAUUAAAACAGUAAGAUUGUUACAAAUAUUUGACAAUAUAAGUGCUCUAGAAUCGUGAUGAAAUACGAGUUAACAUAAAGUGUUACACUAGAGAGUGCAAGUGAGAGUCAUAUAUUCUUAACUUGUUGAGCUUCUUUUCCAAGAAAUAAAGCAUUUUUAAACUGCUAUUCACAAUGGGUGUAGGUCAAUUAAGAUCAAACCACUAUAAUCCCUUAGGUCAUCUUCAUUCCACAAACAUUGUGGUGUGUUUUUUGUGUGUAAAGAAGGGACGCAUCAAAACGUUGUAUGAAUAAUCAAAACAAGAGUUUAUAUUUAAACCUAUAACUCAACACAUUAUGGUAAAAGCAUAUUUAUCAAUACAAGCUUUGAAAUAACUCGAUAUAAAAUUUGACCCAGUUUUUCUACUUUAAGCUCCCUUCUUUCCCAGCUAAACCCUCUUAACUCAAACUUCCUUCUUAAGAAAAACUUCCUUUAAAGAGGUAUUCAAUAGUUUCUCUUCAAAUAACAGAGUUGGACGCAUGAGAGACCUCUUCAACGCACGGUAGUUCUUCUUUGAACACAUGAAUGGCAAGUUCAACGCACGAUAGCUCUGUUGGGCGCAUAGAGCAUGUUGUUGACCAAUCUGAUCCCCUUUUUUCUUCUGAAUACCUAAGAUCUUCCCUCACUCUUAUUUCUUUAGGAAGCUUAGCAAACGAAUAUGUGAAUUUACUCCUCUCAGAUCUUUUAUUUGUAAGACCCCAGGAUUUGUUCUUGUCACCCACUCCACGUCCCUUUGUUUGCUAGCUCCUCCCUCAAAUUUGGCUAAGUAUCCACUUAAGGUGCUUCUACACCUCAGAUUUGGCUACCUUUAAACAUGUGUGAUCUGCUUGUAAGGUUUUCUUACCUCAGAGUUGACCACCCUCCUUCUCUUACUUAGUCAAUUUCCUUCUUGUUUCAUCACCUUCUACUUUCAAGCUUUACUUAACUCAGCUGAUCGCUUAACCCUCCUUGUUAAGCAAUCUACUUGGACACACUUCCUAGCCUAAAUCCAACAAGUUCAACACAUGGGUAACCAUGCUCAAGACUUCUUUCUAUCCCCGUGGCUUCUUGGUUUUGGCUCAUUCAACGCAUGACUUGUCAACGAACUGUUCAACGCGUAGUUCAAUGCAUGGUUUUUCCUUUAUCUACAGUGUUAAGCAUACUCAUCUUUUCCUCUUUGCUGAAGUAUGCAACGUCCAUCGUACAAAAAUUCUCACCUUCUUUACUUACUUCUUCAUCCACAUGGUUCUAAACUUAGCCAAUUUCCCCUUCACCAAGUUUCUUCUCAACACAACACAAAGUUCACCUUCCAACCUAAUAUUUACUAUGUCCAUACUAAAAUACAAACUUUAAAUUAAACUUAAGAGAAGUAAAAAUGGUUCAAAGGUUUACAAUCCAUCAAUAGCACUUAAUCAUCAAUGAUAGACUUCUAUCGGUAUCUAUCUCGACGGUAAAAAAUUCAAAAAAUUAUGCUAUAAAAAUAUAUAUCAAAUGAACUUUGAAUGAAUACACUCAAUUUAAACAUAUUUCCAAGAUGUCAAAGGGAAAAUUUUGGGAAACCUACUUUGAUUUUUUUUUCAAGAAAUACCUACUUAAGAAUUCUUUUUAUCCAUUAUGUAAUGUUUUACAACUUGAAAAAUGUUAUACAAACAAUAUAAUAUAGUCUUUUUUAGAAUUUGUUGAAAUCCUUCUUGUUUUCUCUAUCUAUGAUCUCUCUUAUACUUUUUUAAUUUUAAAAAAUUAAUAUCUUAAUGAUUUCUUAGAAGAAGAGAAAAUUAGUGAAAUCUAAUUUGAUCUUUGACCCUUUUUUUUAUUAUUAUUAAAGAUGUGGCAACUUUAUUUAUCAUAUUUUAUGUGUCCAAUUGGAAUGUUUUAUGUCUCCUAUAGUUCGUUGGAAUCCUUCUAAUUUUUCUUCAUAAACUAUCUCAAAUUUAUGAACACUUAAUAUUUGGAUCAAAUUUUAGAAAAUUGAUCAAUAUAUGUUUAGGGUUUCUAUCCCACAACAACCCCUAAACACACAAAACCCUAUAAAUUUGGAGAUUUUCUGUUUCUCUACAAGAAAUUACUGUCAAGUACUAAUCAAUGAUUCUUUGGUCAAGAGAGGGUUAAAUUGAAGAUCUCUUCUUUUGUGUAUAUAUUCCUCAUCCCAUUGAUUAAAUAUGUUUUCUUGUAAACUCCUAUCGCUUCCUUAGGCCAUGAUGAACAUCAAAAUUACCUCAUACAUUUAAACGUGACAAAAGUGAUUUUUUUGACUUCAAAAUAACAUUCCCUUAUCAGCAAAGACUCUUGACUUAUUCCAUUCUUGCUUUGAAUCACUUUGUCAAGUUUCAAAUAGAUCUUGAACGUAACCUUACAAAAUGAUUAAUUUUUCCAUCUCUAUAUAAUUCAAAAUCAUACCAAACAUUUUCGCAAAAUUAGGGGAUUCCUGAACCCUAAUACCAUUCUUCUCGUUAAAUUCUGUGAGAAUUUUACAUUGGAAAAAUCUAGAGACCUCACAUAAGACAUAUAGAUGAACUACUUCUCAAUUAUCAAUUCAUUUUGAAAUGAAAGCUUAUCGCCACUUUGUCGACAAAGGGAUUCUUAACUAAUCAUUUUAGUUACAAUACAUUUGGAACAUAAUCACAAUGUAAUUCUAACCAUUUAAAAGAACUCCAUACAUUUUCUCAAAAUUAGGGUUUCAACUAAUUCCCUUUAUGAUUCAAAAUCAAUCUUUUAGAACUCCCCAUCUUAGAUAGAUUUUAAACACACAACAAGUGAUUUUUCAAAAUCACUCCAAAAAAUGCCUCUAGAGUUAGGAAUUUCAAUCUAAUUCCAUUCCUGAGUUGUGGAUAAUAAUCUUCAUAUUUAUACCCAAAAGUUUCACUGUUUCAGUACUGAUAAUUCCUCAAACUACUCAGUCUUCAAUCAAAUGGCUGCUUUUAAAACAGGCAGAGAAAAUCUUCUAAGUUCUAUGAAAAUCAUGAAUAUAAAUUUCAUUUUUAGGUUUUGAAAAUCAUGAAUGAUCGUAACCAACAAAUGUUGAUUCAUUAAAACUGUAUAUUAUAUAAAACUAUAGUUGUCACUUAGCAAUUCAACAGUCUUUCUUCUGAAGCCAUUGAUGGCUUAUCUUUCUCUUCUAGCUAGGGCUGUCUUCCUUCCAUUAACAAUGAGAGCCAUUUACAUAUAUUUAUACUGAAAACUUCAGAGUUAUGUGUGAGGUUUUUCAUGAAUCUUUUAUAGACUACUUCUAGAAAAAUAAGCCUUUGUUCUCGAAGUUUUGGCUCUAGUUUCCAUUAGCAGUGUCAAGUUUUCAAAAUGUUACAUUUUUAGCCUCCCUAAAUUAUGGUUUAAAUUGUACUUCGUCCAUUGUUUGUUUUCCUAGAAUACAAGUAUACAAUCAAGGUUGAGAGGACAAACAUUGGCUCUAAAACAUUACAGUUUGCAGUUAUUAUAUAACUGAGAAAUUUAGAUCAUACUCUUAAUAAAGCUUAUACUAAUUAAAUCCUCAUUUUACUACAUUGCACAUGAACUAUACUGUCUUUUUCAUGUGAGGGCUUUCCCAUUUUUGAUAUUUUUCUAAUAUAGUAAUACCAACAAAAUCCAUUAUACCUUAAGAAGAUGGUUAAAGCUAGAUUGCAGCUUCCUAUGACAUCCAUUAUCUUACUCAUAGUUUUAAUUCUAACUCAUAGAAUUAUAAUCUACUCUAAUAUUUAAAUAAACCACAGUUGGAACAACACCUUCAGUAUCUAUUCAACUCAGUGAAAAAUAUUUCAACUAUAGACAGAACCUCCACCGCACACAUUUUGCAUUACUGUCAAGCCAGUAAGCUCGAUCACAAAAUGCUAACAUCAUAUUCUCUCAUCAAUUUAAAGCAAAUAUGGCAUAUGUAUGAACUUUAUCUUUCUACUGAUGAAGUCACCAUCUCCUUUGAAAAGAGAGACAUUGUUAGCUUUCGUUCUAGAGCCAUUUUACAAAAUUUAUCCAUUAACGACCUUUUCUCCAUUUACUCAAAACUUUCCACAUUUCCAACAACUAUGGUGUAGCAUGGUUGUGUUUUUUUUUUUUCUUCCUUUCUUCUAAUUCCAGUUACCAUAGUUAAAUCAUAUUGGUGGAAAUGAAAAAGAUGAAUAUGAGUUCUUGACGUACGGCUCUCGUCGCCGAAAUCCAUGCCAAAUAAAUUACCAAAAUACACACCUUAGUGUUAGUGGUAAGUCCUAGUCGAACUUAGAAAGCAUACUGAUUUCUCAAACAAAACAAUUUCCAACCUAGGUAACUGGGAGGGGCAUUGAGUUGAAUUCAGUUGCAAGGAAGCUAAUGAAACGAAAGUGAAUUGUAAUUAAAUUCAAUGAAUAAAAGAUCCUUGCAUGGGUUCAAACGAAACUCCCUAUAUCAACCUGAAACUCCCUAUAUCAAUUUGUUUGCUCAGAGCAAUUUCAUCACUAGAUCUACUGUUAUAUUCCAGCCAAUUUGAUUAGAAAGGCUAAACAAAUUUUCCUAAACAACUAACUAAUACUAAUUGAUUCAAUGACACAUACAGAAUUUAAUUAAUACUAAUCAUUAAGAUCUAAGGCAAGUUGGAUCCACAAAUCUACACAUGUUCUUUAAGUAUAUUUUGUCCCUACUCACAUGCAUCUUAGAAAAGUUCACACGAGGUCAUUAAAUAUAGGAUUGCUGAAAGCUAAGAACUCUGGAUUUCUUACGAUUGAAUCACCGAAAAGCUGGAAGAUACCUUUAUUGAUAUAGGUGGUAAACUUUUAAUUCUUUUAAACAUUUCUAAUAAUACUUUUAUAUCUUCAAGAUUGCUCCCUAUGAUAUAGGUUAAUUCACGUGCUUCUCCUAAACUAGGAGCAUUACUUCACACCUCUUAGAAUCGCCUCAGAACCUUUGUAGACAGACUUGACUUAACCUUAACCUCUGAAAUUGUAAACCAAGGCUAUUAAACACAAUCAAAGAUAUAAAACUGAUCUUUGUCAAUGAGUGGAACAUGCCUACGUACUUUCAUCCAAGGUGUAGAAGGCACCAUCCUGUGUUUGUAUCCUAACCGAGGCUAUUACCAAUACUUUGCUAACAUCAUUAUUCUUAGCCAUACUAACAUUCCUUCAACACUGUUAUAUAGCUUGAUUUCCUUUAGAAUUGAACCCAACUCCCUUGGAAUCGGUUUCAAUAUUCCCCAGUACAGAAACAUGAGCUUUCUCUAGCUCCUUUUCAUGUUAUCUAUUUUUCUUAGCACAUCUAAUUUUCCAUGAUGGAUAGAACACUUGGAUUUGAAAAACUUAUGGUUCGACUUUUCUCUACCCGAUCUUUUCAUAUUGUAGUAAACCUAGACGCCUCUAUAACUGAACCUGCUGCAUGCUUUAUGAUGGACCUCUCUAUUAAGAACUUUGAUCUUCACUUCUUCUAGAGACAAAGUAUCCUUCCUACCAGGAAAAAAAUCAAUAAAAUAAUUCUCAUAUAACAAUGGCAAAGAUGCAGACAAAAUUAAUGCAGCAUCCUUAUAAUCUAUUUUAGUAUCCAGGUUACUUAAAUCUGACAUAAUUUCAUUCAACUGAUUGGACGAUCUCUAAGAGAGACACCUUCUUGUAUAUGCAGAUCAAACAUACGUUGCACAAAAAAGUAACUUCUUGGAUAAAGAGUUCGUUAUGAAAGACGACUUUCUUCCAACUUCAAAUAAAGCCCAACAAAAGUUUCAUCACCUGACCUCGAUGCUAUAGUGUUAUCAGCCAAAAGUAGGAUCAUCCUGGGAUGAACACUUCCUCUCCAAAAUCUUCCACUCUUCAUCAUUUGCAUUAUUUGUCUUAUCUUUGACUUAUCAAUCAACAACACCCAUAACCCCAAUUGGUUCAGCAGGGAUUGCAUCUUAAUCUAUCACAGAUUGAAAUUGUUUUUCUCCUAAAGGAAUUAUAUAUUUAUCCAUUUUCACAUUCAUGAUAAACAUCUUUGUUUGUGGAACAUAUGCAAAAUUUCAAGUCGUUACAAUUUGGUUUUGAUGCCAAUUUGUAAUGAAAUUGAGAAACAAAAGAUCCAAGAAAGCUAAAUAUAAAAGAUUGACUUAGAGAUAUACAUGGUAUUAUAUAUCUGUGUCUACAGAUAGAGAAUUUUAUAUGUAGCGUACACCUCUCAACUCUAAUGGCAAACUUAUAAAUAACAUAAAUAUGUAUACAAUAAGACUCCAUUUCUGAUCAUUUAGAGCAUAAGAUAACAGAUUUCGAGGGGUUAUUCCAACAAUAAACAUCACUACUUCACUAUAUGAAAGCACACUGUUUGGUCUUCUCUUUUAGGACUUAGAUAAUCCACAUCGUAUCAAACAUAUCUUAAAUUUGCAUUUGCCACAAGCCAGUGCGAUCUUUCCAAUAUUGAAAUUUUUACAUUUCAAAUUUCUCUGGUGAAUUUUAAAGUAAUUGCAUCACAUCUCUAGUGAGUGUAUAAAUAGCAACCAAUCCUUAUUCAUUAUACAGUGUGUGCCAAUCUUGACCCGAAUCAAAAUUUCUUAUUAUUGGACCAAAUACUCGUUUGGACUUGAUGAGCUUUGAUAAUUUAAGAUUUCAUCUCAAAAUCAAUCGAUAAUAAGAGGAGUAAUUGAUUGAGUCCUCCUUCUUGCUUUUUCCAAACGUUGGUAACUCAACAUCUCAAUACAUCUCUAAAAAAACAUCUCAAUGCAAUAGUCAUAAAUUAUUUUACUAUAUUAGUAAAUUUUUCGUUUAUUCUACUAUAUUUGAAAACAAAACUAUUAAAAUCGAGGAAAAAAAAUCUCCCAUCAUACAAUUAUAUAUUUAAGCCUCUUUUGUCCCAUUUAUAAUCCUUGAAGUAUUCUGAAACGUCUUUGAGAAAACAAUACUAAUUAACCUAAACAUUAUUACCUGCUAGCAUAGGUAUUCUUUGUUGAUUCAAAUCUUCACUCCAUGUUGAUUUUAACAAGAAAGGUAAAUUUAAUUAUAGUAAAUGCAAUAAAGUUAGUGAUUCACACACAGAUCAAAUAUUGAAACAUAUAUUACUGCACAGAAUUACUAUGAAAAUAAACUGUUAAAAGAAUUUCAUAUGAUCAAACCCUACUAAGUUGGAUCUAAUAACCUUUAUGAUCACCCAAAUUCCUACAAUUAAAUAUGUUAAAAAUCUAGAGAUCUCUUGUCUACCAAAAAAAAAAAAAACCCUAAAGCCCUAAAAUAAUUGAAAAGAUUAAUUAACUUAAAAAAUAUAUUAAGAGUAAUUGUAGGAAUUUGGGUAAUCAAUGAUAAAGGUGUUACUCAAUGGUAUGAGAGUGCGAUCUUCAUACUAGGAGUAAUGCAUUGGAUGCCAUCUAAAAAGUUUGUAGUUAAGCGUGCUUGUGCAAAAGUAGUAUUAAGUUGGAUGAACAAUGUUGUCUUACUCUCCUUUUUGAAUGGGAAUACAACACUGUUGUCUUCGAAGUAUAAUGAGGGAUCUAAGAGGUGUCAACCUGUAGUUUGAGAUGUACCGGUAAACCCUUGAUCCCACUCUCUUGUUCAAAAAAGUUCAACCAUUUGAGAUGUUCUCUUGUUGCACCUCUUUUGAAUGAAAUUAUAUAUAAAAAAAACAAUCCCCACAAACACUUGUUAGGGCUUUUUAAAUCAAGAAUUUUGUAAUAUCCAUGGGUAUAUAUAAGAAUAUUAAAUAUUUAACUGUUAAAAGAACUAAGAUGUGAAUGUUUGGAAUAGUAGUAAAUAUAAACAGAAUCCAAAUGAACAAAAAUAAAAAAAAAUACUAACAAAGUAUUAUUUAAACCUAGUUGUUUUUUUCUUGGUGCAAGAUUUAAGUACAAUUUAAGGUUAUAGAGUAGGGUCAAGGAAGAGAUAAGAUGCUUGUAUCUGUGAAGCAUUUCUUUGUGUUUUCUAUUCUAUGGGAAGUAAAUUUCACUUCUUUGAUUAAUAUAGUAAGUAGUGGUUACAUACAAAGUAUAAAGUAUUCUGUAUACAUUUAAAUAUCAUAUAACUUUAAGUCUGUAUAUUUUUCCUUUUUUGGCAUUUUGUGAAGCAUCCAGGAGAUACUUGAGAGGCAUAAUAGUGUCCAUUCAGAGAACCUUCCCAAUUUGAAUGAACCAUCAGUUGAGUUGCAGGUAAUUUAUAAUAUCUCUUUAAUGAUAACUUUUUGGAUUAGGAUGUGAAGAGGCGUUAAGAAUUAUCAACACUUAAUUCUAGUUAAGAUAUUUGGGUGUGCGUUCUGAUCCCUCAACAUUGAUUUAAUUCAUCAAAAUAUUGUAUCUUAUAGAAUGAGAUUUCUUGAUCUAUAUUAGCAAUUUGACCUAUCAAAUAUAAGAUGUUCUUUAACAUAAAGAAGUUGAACUGAAAAUUAGAGCUCGUUUGAUGACGAUUUGACCUUUUGACAGCUCGAGAGCAAUAUUCGAGCGAAGUUGAAUGAAGAAGUCGAAAAAAAGAGCCAUGAACUAAGGUGAGUGCAGAAGCACAGUAAUGCACUUUUAAUUCUUUGUAAGCAUAUUGAAUGAAUAAUCUGUGUGAAUAAAUGUAAUAGGCAAAUGAAAGGAGAGGAGCUUCAAGGUUUGGGGAUGGAAGAACUUAAGAAAUUAGAGAAAUCUCUUCAAGGAGGACUCAGUCGUGUUGCUGAAAUUAUGGUUAAAUUACUUCUAUAUAUCACUUUUAAUUACUUUUUUCAAUCUAAAUUUAACAUCGUCCCAUUUAAUUUUUACCUAAUUAACUUUGGUUAAUUUAAUUUCAUAUAUUCAGGAUGGAAAAAAUACUGAUUUGCUCAGCGAUAUUGGAAGGAAGGUAACCCAUUAAUUAAACACUUCAAAUUUUAUUUAUUCUAUGGAACCAUUAGAUUAAUCAACAUAGAUUAGUUCUUCCUCCCAUUUUAUACUUGGUUGGUUUUGAGAUGAAACAUAUGCAUAUUUAAUAUGGAGUCAAAGUCCAUGAUGAUGCUCAUAUUGGUAUUUGGUCCAAAACAAGAAGUUCAAUCCGAGCAUGACAUACUAGUUUGUUAAUAACCAUAAAGCCUGUUAUAUAGGCUCUUAUACUGCUAGGUACAAACAAAAUCUCACGUUCGUUAGGAAAAUAAUAUCGAUAUGAGGUAUUUUGGAUAAAACGGCAAAUGAAAAACCAAAAGUCACAAAACCUCAUAACAAAGUAUAGAUGGAUGGGGAGGGUUCUGAAUAUCUUUAUCAAAUAAAACUAUCUUCUCCUUCAACUGAUUGACUCUAGCUUCCACCCUUUUUUUCCCACACCAUUCUCCCAAGGAAUACUUUGUUACAUCAAAUACAAUGAACCUUACAAUACUUCCAACUCUCCCUGAACCCUAAACCUAAACACAUGCCCCCUUCUCUAUAUUCAAUUUGAAAUUACUGUACAAAUUAUUACUGAAAUCUAAUAAAACCAUUAAGUUGAAGUAUUGAUAUAAAUAAACUUACUACAACUAUAAACUUAAGCAUACGGUAUCAAAGCAGAAGUUUUGUGUUGGAACUCUUUGUAAUGUCCUUUUGUCUCCUAAUUAAUACAUACCCAAAAAUUUUCAAAUCUACACAUGAGGAGAGGGUUAAAAGUAUUGAUAUCGUUCAUAAUCCAUUCACUUAAGCUUAGAGGUUCUGUUUGAUUGUUUUCCUUUUUGUAUCUUUAGUUUGUUCCUAAUUUCAGCGUGUGAUUUUAGUAAUGGUUUAGAUGUUGUAAUUGAGACUCAGUUUCAUUUGGAGCCUUAAUUGCUUUUUUACUCUUAAAUUUGUAGCCUAUUACAUUUUUAUUAGCUUUGGGUCAUGUUUUAUCGUUGCAAAUGUAUAUUGGCAAUACAUUUAUGUAGCAAUUAAUUUCUUUUAAGAGAACCAAGGAUCUCAAACAAUUAUGUUCAUUUAUGGAAUUAUAUAUAUUGACUUAUACUAUAUUUUAGUUAGUUUCGGGUGUGUUUCAAUAUCAAUUUAAACCCUUAAACAUUCAAUGUCGUAUCAUUAUAAACUUUAAUUAACUAAUAUUUACAUCGAUUUAAAUUAUGAAUUUUUGCAUGCGUGUAUCAGUUUCACCAUCCAUUAAGUUGUUUUUGGAUAGACAUCUGAUGAGAUAUAUAAUUUUAUCAAUUGAACCCUUAAGAAUCUCAUGAGUAAAUCAAUUUAGAUCCAAAAUUAAGAUUGUUUUUUUUUUAGAUCAUAGCUGGGGUCGCAUUUGGCCCCAUUGAGAUUGUCAGUAACACCACCAAUGAUGUUGAUGUUCAACCUGACCUGUUUGCCCACUUAUCUUGCUGUGUUAGAUGUUGCACCCUCCUCGGUUGCACCAUGACACUUCUCCCAGCCCUUUAUCUUUGUUUAACAUGUCUUGUUGCUAUUACACUUUAUGUACUAGGGGGUCACAAUGUACUUCCUUGAAGUAUGAUAGUGAGAUUGUCCUCCACUUAAAUUGUCAUCGUCGUUGAUAUGACAAACUUAGGGAUGCAAUCGGCUUUGAUGCACGUCAGAUUGCAACACUACUCACCCUUUUUUUAAAUUUUUUUUUGACAUUUGGAAAAGUUUACGCAAGUAUAAGAAUUGAAUGCAUGCAUGCAUGGACAUUUUCAAAUGUAAUUUUAGGAUAGAGUUUAAAUUAAUAAUUUGUUCAAAACAAUUUAAAAGUUUCAAUUGAAACAAUUAUAUGUUUUACCCACGAUAAACAUAAAAAAUUGGAACAAAAUAUAGAAGAUUAGCAUGACACUUUGUAAGUGUGUUCAUGAUUUAAAUUGAUACAAAUUUAAAGGUGUAAACUGAUAUUUUUCCAUAUUUUUAUUAUAUUCUCUAUCAGAUAUUAACAAAUGUGGGCCUUAAUAAUUCUUUUUGAGUGAGUUUUGAGUUGUGAGGAUUCUUCGAAAUGAUCCAACACAACAGAUCCCAUUUUAUAAGCAACUUAUAUUUCUUUCUUGAAAACUCACAUUAGUUCCUUUGUAUGGUUUACUGAUCAGCUUUAGGCUCUGAUACUGUGAGUCGUUUUAACCUGCCAAAACGAGCAUAAAAAGUCAUUUUACCUUCAUGUGAAGUGCCAACUUAAUACCUCUCUCUAUUACUUCCAUUAAAAGAAAAAAGAAACUAAAAGUUCCAGUAUAUGUUGUCUGGGAAAUUUAAACUAAAAAAUGAAUCAAUAAGAAAAUUCUACCUCUAAACUAGCCUUGACAGUUCAUAAUAUACUAAUAAUAUGAAAAUAUGGCAACAAGCACAAUGCCAAAAGAAUUAGAUAUAGCAAAAUUUAGAUUAACUUUCGUGGGUCUAUCAGUGAUAGAGUAUCAUAUCACUUGCUAAUAAGUGUUUAUCUGUAAUAGAUCAUAUUGCUAGUUGGAAUCGUGUCUAUUAGUGUGAUAGACUUUGCUAUAUUUGUCAUUGUUUCUAGCAUUUACUUUGAAAUUUCACUAAUAAUGGUGAAUCAUGCUGCAAUGAAUAUAUAUUCAAAGCAGUUUGAUACUUUAAACUGAACCGAGUUAAACUGAUUAUAUAUACCAUCUGCCCAUCACCCUUUUAGAAUUGCUUUCACUCACAACAUCUAACCAAUUAUCACCCAUUGAUACGGUGGACAAUUGAGAUUACUUAACUUUGAGUAUUCCCCGUGGAAGAUGAUUUUUUUUUCUUUUUGAUAAAUGGAAUUUACAUGGAAAAAUACGAAAGGAAAAACGAAGGCAUAAAAAAGGUCCUAAACUAACUAUGAAAAUGACUCCAAUCUAACAAAAUUGUGCCAAAAUAGGCUUUGUUUAUGUACCUCUCUACAAAGUCUAUUGUUUCUCUUAUCUAGAUCAUACCCCACACAAUGAAAAAGAACUUAGCAUAACGCACAGUUUUGUCAUUCUUUCAAAAAGGUGAACUCGUAGCACCUCCUCAAUUAACUGUAGCAAAACAAUAUGUAGUCUGAAGAGAGAAAAUUUCUUUUUGAAAAAAUAUACAAGAGGAGGCAGAUAGGAUGAAUUGGCGCCCUCAAACAUUCUUAAUCAGGCUGGCACAUCCUUAGCCACCCUCAACAUAUUCCCGAGCACAAAAAAUGAUGCUUUGAUAAAAGAAAGAAACUAUACAAGGAGAGCAAAGUAGAGAUAGAGAAAGCACAAAAGUUCAGGGAUGUUGACAUGGAAAAUGUUAGAGGAAAGCCUCCAAAAUACAAGGCUAGCUCCUAGAUCAGAUUACUAGAUAAGAUAAGGAAGCUGACUCAUCCCACCUUAUUCAAGGAGACGGAAGGAACCGUCUUCCUUUUUUUUCUUUUUGAAAAGGAUACGUUGACUCAUCCCACCUUAUUCAAGGAGACGGAAGGACCAGUCUUAGUUCUUUAGUUCUUGGAAGCCUUCGAGACGAAGCAAGAAUGUCAGUGCCAUCAGGUGUCGAAUGAUCGAGAUUCAAAAUCCUUGUCCGAAUCCUAGGACUAAGGUGUCAUCCAUCUCAAAAAUCAAUUGAGAAAGAAAUGAUUAGCUCAUCUAUCUUAUAAGAAGUGGGAAAUCUCUUGGUUUUUCUGAUGUGAGUUUUUCAGGACAUCCCCACAUUCACUUUAUGUGGGACUUUGAUUGCAUUCUCAACGUUUACUUAUAAUCCUAAAUUGGUUUCAUUAAAAUUCAACCCAUGGUCCAAAUUUGCCUUGGUGCAAUAAAAACUCCUUGAAAAGUUAGAAGAGUGUUAAGGAGGUGUUGAAGUGUGACUAAAGUUCUACAUUGGCUAGAUAAUAGAUCUCUACAAGAUUUUUCACUUUUACUGACGAAAAAAACGUCAGCCAAUGUCCAAAAAACGCCACCCUAAGUUAUGCCGACGCAAAAAAAUGUGUUGGCAAGAACGUCGCCAUAUCCGUGUCGAGUGAAGUUCUUAUCAACGAAAUUGAAUUUUAAUUUUAUCGAUAUAAGUACCUUUUCCUUGACAUAUUUAUUGUUGUGUCGAUGUACAAGUUUUGCUGACGACAUAUAAGUUUUGGUAUGAGAGGAUCUAUGACAUAUGAAAGAGGAUAAUAUAGUGAGAGAAGAUCUAUCACAUAUAAAAGAGGAUAAUUAUCUUUAAUGGUAUGACACCUCACAGUGGAGAUAUGUUAGAAGGCUCGUAAUUCCUAAUAAUUAAAUGAUACCAUAGUGACCUUAAUACUUGAGGGAGAAUAAUUGGAAUGCAGCCAUAGUCUUACAUUAUAUAUAGUUAGAUAACCUAUUAUAUAUAAAGGAAGGACAAUCAUAUCUCUAAUAGUAUGAGACAUUUUUAGUGAUCAAACCAAAAUUAAAAGCAUGAGGGUUAAUUUCCAAAAUGGACAAUAUAUCAUCUAUUGUAGAGAUAUAUUGGAGGGUUGGUUGUCUCUAGCAAGUAGUAUCAUCCCACUCCCACUCCCACUCCCACUUUGAUGCUGAAGUUAAUCUCACAUGGAGGGUAGAAGUAUCAAACUACUAUGCUCAUAAUUUACUUACAUCGUCAAAGAGCUUUCGUAUGGCCUAUUUGUAGGAUAUCGUGACCAAAUCCAUUUAGGAUCAUGUUUUUGUGUCUAAUUAGAAGAAUUCCUCGGAUUUAUUGGAUCAGCCGGCUCAUGGGGGAUAAAUCUCGAGCUAACCUAUAGGGCAGCUGAGGAGCUUGGAAUGGGGCUGUUUCUCUUUCACUUGUUCUUUGGUUGGGUUUUGCAUAUUCCAUUGAGCUCCAGCUACAUUUCCUUGUAUUUUAGAGAAGAAAGAAACACUCCUUCACAAUCUCCACGUUAACUUUCUCUAGAAGCUUAACUAAAUUCUUAUUUGUCAUUAUGUUUAAGUUACAUAGAGUUUUCAUUGCCAUCUUUCGCCAAGUUGGCCUUCAUUUUCUACUUCAUACAAUUCGUUGAGCUUGCGGCCAUUAUCAACUUUUUGUUUGCUGUCUCCCAUGAACAUGAUUUAUUUUUUUGCUUGAUGGUACAAAUAUAGUUUAGUAUAAUUGAAGGUACUCAAUAUUAACUCUUUAGAUCGUGUUUUGAAGAACUUGUCUUACUUUAUAUAGUCAUCGUAUUAUAUCAUCCAUAGGAAUACUAUUGAGGAUCUUGACUUUUUCUCUUUUAGUGUGGAAUUUGCUUCCUUUAGACGUUUGGUUUCCAUGUAACUCAAUCUAAAAAUUGUUUUAAUGGUCGAGUGGCUUCCUCGUUUCGCACUGACCAUUUCUCCAUUUGUCAUGACUCACUGGUCCUCGGAAUGUUGUAGAGGUGUUGUCAUUAGCCAUCAGAAGAUUGCUCAGAAAGUCAAAUAAUGUAGUAGAGCGAGACAAUGAAGACAAUGAGAAAGAGAUGAUACUUAAAGUUAGUGAGAGAGCGAGAGAAAGACAUAGAAAGUCAAGAGAGUGAGAAGUGCGUGACAACGAGAUAGCAAGAGAGGAAAGAGCGAGAGGCCAAUCUGCGUAUGCAAUUUUCAAUUUUUAUAAUUUCACGUCCACAUGACGUUGACAAAGGACCAAAACCCUCUAUUUUGGAUCCUCCAUCCACCGUGACCCUAUUGUAAGGAUUCCAUAUACAAUCAUUUCUUGCUUAUGUGAUCCGAGAUACAAUUGAUAAUAGAUGAGGAUGGACAACUAUCUCCAAUAGUAUGAGACAAAAAACAAAGCAAGAGUUUAUGCCUAAAGUGGAUAAUAUCAUACUCUUGUAGAGUUAUCUGGAAGGUCUGCUGGGUAAAAUCCUAGGUCAUGGUGGUAUCUGUGAGCGGUUACCCAAUUACUACUUUGGGGUUGAGCUUUCGUUCAAAUAAUGUGAUCAAGUGUAUAAUUUAGAGAAAUAACUGUUUGAGAAGAGACUUGAUUUACCAAGCUACGCUCCUGUUUCUUCACAAACAUAUCCAGUUAAAUUAUCUAAAGAGUAACGAUAAAAGAGUUGUAAUUUGUAAAAAGUUUCAAUCUUGUAGACCAAAUGACUGUUAAGGUGAUGCUGUUAUUCUAAAUUUGUGCUCUGCUACACAAAGGUUUUUCAUUAAAAAGUAAAGUUGUUUCUCUGGUUUCAAAGAUUCCAAAGAUUUGUGAUUGUAAUACGUUGAAGUGUAGGAGGAGACUCAAGGGCAGUUUAAGAGGCUGAGUUGAUUAAUCUAGUCAUUAUAAUUGUUUGUGUUUGAGAGCAAGCUCUUCUAGUCUGGGUUACAAAUGAUGAGAGAAGAUAGUUACAAAAUAGUAAACGCCAUAGAAAUGGAGUGUUGACAAAAUGUUGGUUAUAAUUACUAAGAACUUCAAUUAUAAUAGUCACCCCAUCCAAGGCAAGUUGGGAGACUAAACGCCCUUAGCGUGUUAGAAGUUCAAUGAGCCAAGUUCCUCACAACCACACGACAAAAAAAGCCAAAAGGAAGAAAACGAAAAAAAAAAACUAUCACAGGACAAAUUGUGGUUGGACGACACGGCAGAUAAUCUGCAAAAUGAUCACAAAGUACUUUGGUAAACAGUUUUGCACGUCCCUGUUAAGACUUUCAGAUUGUUUGUUACAGUAAAUAAUUGUUGAGGAUUUUACUUUAAGAUUUCGUUUCUUUGUUUAGUUUAGUUUUUUUCUUACUAUCUCACAAACUUUUCUAUCAGUCUGCUUUCCAUUACUGUCUAUGUUGGUUUCAUAUAUUUGCUGCAUGCUAUCAAAUUUAGCCUUUUCUGCUACUGGCAUCUCUCUUCUGUCCAGUUGUAAUUGAACUAAGAUUUGCAUUAUGUUUUGAGGAGGUUCUGAAUGUGUUUUAAAUUGCUAUGUUUUUCUAUUUAUGCAUCAUUUUGUUACUAGUAAAAUUAUUUAACUUUGAAUCGUGGAGAACUGUCAACAUAUAUGUUACUCCCACCAACAUACCUGUAAUACAUUUAAUUUUUAAUUUCUUAUGCUCUAUUGUAAUUCAUUGCUAUCGUUAGAAUUGAACCAUUUGAGAUACUUUUCAAUAGAAUGUGUAUAUUAAUGGUAUAAAGAUAUUUAGCAAAACCAAGGUUUACGUUAUACUUGGUAGAGAAAUCUCAUACAUUUUGUUGAUGCCAAAAUUUGUGCAAGAAAAAGUCAUGUCCAUCACUUGACAACAACAGUAAAAUUGUUUACCGGCGAAAGAGCGUGACCGGCCUACAAAAGAAAGCAAAAUAUAUAAUUGCCACACAAGCUCUAAUCCUUAAGCAAGUCCGAAAGAGAGUGAAAGUUUUAAGAUUUGAGAGCGAGAAUUGACUUAUUGUCCACUGAGGUGCUAAGACGUUAAUUAUAUAUAGUAGGCCGACCUAGAGUUUCCUACCAUUUCUCUUUCUACAAAAGGAAAAAAGAACUGAUGAGGGGUUUGGGGUUUCACUUAGUCCUAGCCGAGCCAAGCCAAGCCCAUCCCACCCCACCCUGAACCAUAUGUGUCUACGAGCAGAGGAGGUUCAGAAUGUGAUCAUAGUUUCACACCAGUCAGAUAAAGUGAGAUGAACAUGAUAUCUAUAUAAUCAAACACAAUUAUCUCUAUUAAUAUCAUAUGAUUAUGAAGAUAUUUGGAGGAUGUCUUGUACUAAGAAGGGUUACUCCAGCCACAGGCUUCUCUCAAUCUUGGGUUAAUAAGUUUUGGUCUAAUCUUACCUCUGACACUAACUAUAAUUAAUUGUUGACAAACAGAAAGAUUUCCUUUUAGAACAGCUAUUUUUGCAAUGGCAUAUUUCUAAUGGUCUGAGCACAUUACAAUUUGAAUAUUCAGGUUGAUUUGCUGAUAGAAGAAAACAAGAGAUUGAACCAGCUUGUGAGUUUUACAAACCAUGUUAAUAUUUUUUUAUUUUUAGUGUUUGUAAAAGGGAAAAUUAAUGAUUGAAGUUUUGUUGUCUGUGGUAGGAAGUGGACAAAUUGGGAGAGCAAAUAAUGCAGAACAUACAAGGACAUUCUUCUGAGUCUAUAGGGAAUAAUUCAACUUCAUCAAAUAACCCUUCUCAAGAUUAUGACAGCUCUGACACUUCUCUCAAACUGGGGUUAGUUUAAUUUUCAAACUAUUCCAAAGUUCUUCUUUCUUGAGGAUUUGUUUGGUAUAUAUUAUGUAUUGUUUAUUAGUUUCGGUCAAAGUCAAUCGAAAUGGAUCCUACGAGAGUAAGAUAUAUAAGAUAUAUAUGAGCUACUUCGAUUAAUUAAAACAUUAAUUUGCAUCUAAAAUGUACGUUUCUUUUUCAUAAAUACAUAUUUUAAGUCUCGUUUCAUAACUACGCUACAUUAUAUUUUUUUAAAACGUAUUCUACAAAAGCUUUCUUUCAUUACUUUGGUUUUCAGAAUUUGGAUAAUCAUGUUUAAAUAUUUACUAAACAAGAUCAUAGUUUUUCUUGGAGAAUUUUCUUAUACAUAAUUAUGAAUUUAUUUUGAAAAUGAUCCCUUGAAUGUGUGAAAUAAAUUCCAAAAGUAUAUUGUUGAUAGAUAUUUUCUUGGGCACUCGUGCUAACAAUUUCGUUUUCGUUUUUUUUUUUAAAAAAAAACCAAGUCUAUUUCCUCUCUCUCUCUUUUUUUUUUUACCAUAGUUUACAUCUAACAAAAUUUUAAAACUAGUUGACUUGGUUUAGGAAAAAGUAAAAAGUUGGUUACUUAGACGUAAAAGAAGUUUUUAUAGGCUUAAUAUUUAUAAACUAAAAACGUAAACCUAAGGUUUCGUUUGGUAAUGAUUUUGUUAUUUGUUUUUAAAAUUAAGCCGAUAGUGAUAGAAAAUUAGGCAUAGGGGCAACCAAAAAUAGAACAAAAUAAUACCCUAUUUGUAAUGAUUAACAUCAUGAAACCCUAAAAUAAAUUGAAAAUCCGUUAACUCAAAAUUCUCUUCACAUGAACUCGACCCGAUCACCACUAGAAUUUUCUGCUAUUCUUUGGACUCAAUCAUGUUGUGGGACCCGAUGAACGAAGAAAUCGGGAUAGAGAAAGAGAUGGAAAAUAAGGAGGAAGGAUUUUUCUUGUGAAAUUGGGCUUUUAGUGCUUGAGAGAGGUUCUUCUGAAGAACAAUUUCAGCAGCCCAAAAUUUCUAAACAUUGCCUUUCAAAUAUAGAAAGAUGUAAAUUAUUAUAGAAAAUAGACUUAAUUUUCAAAAACUAAAAACAAAUAACGAUAUGAACCAAAAGGACAGUAAAGAAGAAUCGAUACAAGCAACUAGUUAACCUAAUUUGGUGCAACAUCGGGGCUAUGCCCAAUUGAGAAGAUCGAAAUAUUCACUAGAAUUAUUAAAAAGAUUACAAGUACACAACUUAUAUCCUUUUAAUACACACUAGAAAAUCACUUGGGCUCAACGUGAAUCAAUAACCUAAUCAAACAACCAUAUAUAAGAAUCAACUAUAUGCUUAUUGUAUUUAAGAUUAACAUAAAAUAUUAAAGAAUAUGAUCAACUGGUGCAGACCUAAUAAUUAAUUAUACAUCCAAACCCAAAUUUUACUUUGUAAACUGUGUUAUAAUUAAUUACUAACAGCCUUGAUUGUUCUUCUAUUAUAAUCAUUAUUAUUUGAGUUGUUGUUGUUGCAGAUUGCCAUUGCUUGAUUUUUGAAUUAUAUGGCUGAAGAUUGGCAUCUGAAUCAACCCAAAAGAUCAGCAAUUUACCAUUUGGAAAAGAGUUCAUUUGGUAUAUAUAUAUAUAUAGAGUCUGAAAAAAAAAAAAGAAUGAUAAAUAAGGUAGGAUUAAGUGAGCAUGUAUAUGAAAUUAUGCAAUAAAUUAGGUUGAAUGAUAUAUAUGUGUAGAACACAAUUACUAAAAUUAAAUUUGCUUGAAUUUGUUGCAUUUUGGAUCAUACCAUAAAUUGCUAUGCCUUUCCAAGCACACCUAUAAGGUUGUAGUAAUUAAUUAAGAGACACUCCCAAUGUAAUUCAAUUUAAGUGCCUCUUAAUUAGUCAAUUACUAUAAUUAGGUGCUAAGUGUCCUUACCAAACUCUUUAAUUUAAUUUAUUCUGACUGUUCUUACCAAACUCUUUAACUUAAUUUAUUUUAUUGCGAGUGUUCUUACCGAACUCUUUCGUCACAUGUACGUAGGUCUAUUGUCGUUUAUUAUAGAUAAAAAGUAAAAAUUAGAAUACGGAAAUGUUUGGUUUAACUUUUUAAUUUUGAAAGCAGGUCAUUUUUAAAAAAAAAAUUGAAUUGCUUGACAAUAACUCAAAAUAAUUAUUUAAACGAUCUUUAAUUUUAUUUUAAAUUGUUUUUACGAAUUUUAAAAGGAGAAAUUGUUAUGAAUAAAAAAAAGUUAAAAUUAGUUUCACGUUUAUGAAAAAAAAAUUAGGAGCACUCUUGAAAAAUAGUAAAAAAAGAUUAUGAUAAUAUGUCCGAUGCCAUUGUAUUUUAUAAAUUGUAAAAGUAGGAAAUUUAAAAGUGUUAUUGAUAUCACUAAUUUUGAUAUAUCGAAAUAUGCAAAAAAAAAAAAUAUAUAUAUAUAUAUAUCAUGAGCUGUUUUUUUUUCUAAACGUUUUUGUCAUUUUAUGUAAUUUUUCAAAAAGAAUUAAAUAAGUUAUUGAAAAUUUGAUUAAUUUUGAUAAAUUUGAAAAUUACUAUAAAAGAUUAUAUUAAAAUGAUAAAAUUGUUCGAAAAUAUUUAUCAAUAUAACAUAGUAUCAUAAUAUCAUAAUGCAUCUACGAUAGAUUACUAUCGGGAUUAGACAAAGAGUCGUGCGUACCUCUCGUACACUAUUUGGCAUAGCCCACCCCACAAGAGAAUAAGCAAUUGAGUUGACAGACAAACUUUAAACUAAAAAUAGCCAUGAAGAGAGAAAAAUGCAUGAGAAUGUUUUUCAAAAGGAGAAAAAAAGUAGAGAUGAAAAACUCUUUAUCCUAUGCGAAUAAUAUCUCGCUUUGUAACAAACGAUUUCGAGAAGGAUAGAGUGCGAAAAUAAUAAAAGAAUGAUCCCUUAGAACAAAGGAAAAAAAUGGUCUCAGUAAUGGACUAUACAUUGACAGAGACGGUGGUGGAUAUAAAAUGAAGCCUUUCUUCCAUUAUGGGUAUGCGCCAUAAACAGAACUUAACCAAGACUUCAAAAAUGAAUUGCUGUCACCAGAGUUUGAGAAUUCAGAUUUCACUUCUAACUUAAUUAAGGGUGUGUUUUGGACGUGAUCAAAAUGAUCACUUUUUCUUUUGCCAAAAUUACUUUUCCUAGAUGAUUUUUGUUAGGUAUAAAUCCCGACGUUUCAGCAAGUAAUUUUGAGCCAUUAAGAAAAACUUAAUUAGCAUUGGAUGAAAGUCCAAGAAGUACUCUUCUGUUUCUGUAAAGGAUAAAAUUAAUGUACAUAUAUAUAUUAUAGAAAAACCAACAAAAAAACUAAAAGAACUGUUACACACUAAAAGAAAUAUGUAUUCAUAAUAUAAUGUUUUAAUAGGUGGAGAGAACAACAGUCUAUAGAUACGAACACACAGUACACUGAUAGAAAAAGAAAACAUAACAAACAUAAAAAUCUCUCGUACACAAAGGGAAAAUUUAAGAAAAACAUGAAGAAGUGUGUAUAAUUAUAAAUGCAGCUGUGUUCUUUUAGAUAUAUGAUUCAGUAUGGUAUUCAAGGAGUAGUUGUGGUUGUGUGGGGUGGGUUAAAUGAAGGGAAAGGUAUGUCCUUUGGAAGAGAAGGCAAUACUGGUUUUGGGAGUGAUGGCAAUUCGGGUACUUUGGGAAGUUCUGGUUUAGGAAUAUUUGGUAAUUCGGGCAAUUUAGGGAGUUCUGGUUUUGGUAAGUUUGGUAGUUCAGGUAGUUUUGGGAGUUCAGGUUUUGGUAGAUGAUCGGGAACUUCAGCAAGUUUAGGGAGAUCAAACUUAGGCAUGGUUGGAAUUUCAGGAACUUUGGAGUGAUCAAAGUUAGGUACUUUUGGUAAUUCAGGCAACUUUGGAAGUUCAGGCUUUGGCAAUUCAGGGACUUUAGGCUUUUCUAGAGGUGGAAGAUGAGGCAGUGGAGGUAACUCAACUUUCGGUAGUGGAGGAAGCUCUGACUUUGGCAAAGUGGGUAUUUCAGGCUUUGGAAGCCCUUCAGGUCCAUGAGGUAUUGGCGUCUCCAAGAGAUGCCUUGCGCUCACUGACAUAAUAAGAAAAUCAAAGCUCAUGGUGACUAUAAGAAUACCAAGUACCAAAGAAGCUUUAAGGGUUGAUAAGGGACGAGUAGCCAUUAGGAUCUAAACAACAAUGGACCAAGGAAUUGAUAAUAACACAAAAACGAAGAUGAUUUGAUGAGAUUAGCUGUGUUGAUGAUCUCAAUAUGCAACAUGCAAAGGUAUUUAUAGGUAAAGAAAGAAGAGGUGGAGAAAAGCACAUAUAUGAAUUGUUUAAGAAGAGAUGAAUAAUGGUAGAGGAAGUGUUAGUUCAACUUUCACACCUACACAUUUGAGUACACAUUUCUUGCAAAAAUAAAAUUCUUAAAAAGUAGAAAUAUAUAUACAUUAUUUGAUUGUACCAAUAAUAAACCAUAUAUUAGUGAAAAUAAAUAAUAAUUAUAUCUAAUUUCUUCCAAAAUAAGAGAAAAACAAUAGUUCUUUAUUAUCCAUAUACAAAAUCAAGAUACUUGAAAGAUUAAAAGAAAAAAGAAAAAAAAAACCCAUAAAAAUGUCCAAAUAAAUUUAAUCAAAUAAUGAUCUUCAUAAAUUUUAUUUCUUCCUUCUUUGACAUUUUUGACACAAGAUUAUGAUCAAUGUCUUCAAUUGAGUCAAAUAUGGUUUGCUUACCAAACAAAUAGAGAAUGCUAAUAACUUAUUCUUUAGUAUAUAUGGAGUUUGUUGGCCAAAUUAUUAUCAGUAGAUCUUCCUUUUCUUUUAUUCUUUGUACCAUGCAACGUUUACCUUAAGAGUAUUGCAAAAUCCUUUCGCCCACUCCGCGUUAGCAAUGCAAAAAAAUAGCAAAUUUUUUUUUAUAAUAAUAGGACUUAUCUCGCUACAAAUAGCAAAUCUAAAAUGGGAUAAUUGCAAAUUUAUCUAUUAGAUUCAAAAUAAUUAGGUAUAUAACAACAUUUUAAAUAAAAAAUUUGCAAGUAUAGCAAAAUUUAUCAAUGAUAUGUUGCAAAUAUUGGUCUAUCUAUCCCUGAUAUUGAUACAAGUCUAUCAGCGAUGGUUUUGUUAUAUUUGCAAUUUUUUAAAAAUGUUAUUAUAUUUUUAAUUAUUAUUUCUAAAAUAACCAUCAAUUAUAAUUACUCUAAUUUAAAAGCCGAUAACCCUCUAAUAACUUUUCGAUAGACGUUUGAUAUCACCAAUUUUUCCAUAUUCACACUAUGUAAAAAGAAAUAGGUGUUAUAGGUUAUUUUUUUGUAAUGUUUUUUUUUUUUAUUUGAUGCAAUUUUCCAUAUUGAAAAGGGUAAAUUGCAUAGGUGAAACCAUCAAAUUAAAUAUUUAUGACCAUUUUCUGAUCACAACACAAUUUUAACCUUACUUAUUUUAUGUACUUAAAUUGUUUUAAAAUAAUUUUUCUUAGGGAUGUAGAUUUUGAUCACAACACUCUGUAGUUUCACAUGUCAAGAAGAAUAGCAUUUUUGUUGAUUUGUUACUUUUCUAAUUUUUCAACUUUUUUUUAAUUUUGAGCUUUAUUUAAACUCAAAAUCUUAAUUUACAGAGAAAUUGAAUUUAUAAACAUUUUUUUUAAAAAAAUUCACAUCGUUACACUUCAAAGAUGAAUUGAUGUAAGUUUUUUCUUUUAUCAUCUAAAGCUUUCAUGAUGUCCUCUGGUUAAAUUAGAUUUUAUGUAUAUGUCAUUAUAAUCUCCGAUCAUAAAAGAAUUUAUCUUUUUUGAAAUAAGUAUAACGUAAUUGUAAAAUGCUUCAUUUUUUCAUAUUAUUAAAUAUAAUUUAUCUUCUUCAAUCAUAUUUCUCGAACUAGAUUACCAAACUAUGAAUUUAUUCAAGUCAUAUAAUUCGAUUGGAUUUGUAUGUCCUGGUAGUUUCUCUUCAGUAUGCUAUUGUCAUUUUAAGUAGUGAAUAAUUUGGACUUUUGUAUAUCUCUCAGCUUAUAAAUUUACCCCAUGUGUAACCAUUGAGAGAAGUUCUACAAAGAAACAACAUUACAGUUACAACAUAUAUGAUAAAUGAAAAUAUGAUUUUAUAUAUUCAUAAUAUAAAUCUACAAGACAGCAACAUCAUGUAAACUAUAAGAACACACUGAUAUAAAUAGGAACAAACCAUUACAUAAAAAGGUAAUCUCACACUGACUAGAAAUGACACAUGGUUUUCAAUGUUGUAUAUAAAUGUAUGUUUAAUUCUAACUUUGUAGAUCAAAUAUGGUCUUCAAGGGUUGAUUGUGGUGGUAUGGGGUGAGUUAAAUGAAGGGUAAGGUAUGUCCUUAGGAAGGGAGGCAAAUGCUGGCUUUGGGAGGGGUGGGAACUCAGGCAGCUUAGGGAGUUCUGGUUUGGGCACAUUUGGUAAUUCUGGCAAUUUUGGAACUUCAGGUUUAGGAAAAUUUGGCAAUUCAGGAAAUUUAGGGAACUCAGGUUUUGGCAGUUCUGAAACUUCAGAUAGUUUAGGCACGUUUGACGAAUCUUUUGAGUGAUCAAGGUUAGGUACUUUUGGUAAUUCAGGCAAUUUCGGCUUUUCCAAGGGUGGAAGAUGAGGCAAUGGAGGUAACUCAACCUUUGGCAAUGGAGGAAACUCGAGGUUUGGCAAAGAAGGUAUUUCUGGUUUUGGAAGCUCUUCAGGUAAUGGAGUUUCCAAGAGAUACCUCGCAUCCACGGUCAUGAUCGAAAUAUCAAAAUUCAUCAACAUAAAAACACCAAGUAUCAAAGGAAAUACCAAA